rnacentral:lncRNA from 1 species
GUCACUCCAGGAAGGGAGUUCCCGCCCCUCGAAUCAACCAGAGGGAGGGAAUCCCCGCCCAUCCUGGAGGCUCGGCGGAUCCCCAGCGCUGCGAGGAGCCGACUCCCAGAUCCAGUGCGUGCUGGCCCCGGGCUGGGGACGCGGCAGGACUGCUGCUGCAGGCACCCACCGCGCCGCAGGCCGAGCCGAAGGUGCCGGGGAUUGAGCCUCACGCGGCUUGCUGCAAACCGCGGCGCUGCAGCUCUGCACCCGCGCGGCGUCGGCGCUGGUGGUAGCAGCCGCGGAGGCUCUGCGCCGGGACCGCCGGGCGGCGCCUGGGUCUAAAAGCGAGAGGAGUAGCGGGAGCCUCAGCCGAGCCGCGAGCAGGUGAAGCGACCGUCCCGCUGCUGACGGGACUUAGGGCUCCGGUUGGGCGUGCGGGGUCGGGGGGGAGCCUGGCACCCCAGAAAGUUCAGUGACAAAUCGGGUAAGGAAAUCCCAGCCCCAGGUAGGCGGUGAGUCGGGGUCCCCAACCGGGGUCCCACGUUAGGUGGUCCAAACUCCUCUCCCCUCCAGUCGAGGGCAUGGGGGUCGCGGUGGAGAGGAGAGGGCUGGACAGAGAGGGAUUGCAACAUUAGGACCACCGGAGUCGUACUGCUGGGGACACUGAGGACAUGGCCAGGAGUCCUUUUCCCAUAGCAACCACAUGGAGCGGAGGGAUUGGGGUCUGUCUCCCGGACCAUCCUCCAGCGCUUCUUCCCCCUCUGACCAGAGAAGAGGCGAAGAGUGGAGGGGGCUCCUGAAGAGCAAGGGCAUGUGUGGAGCGGUUAUUGGCAUCUGCUAGGGAGACGGGAACAUUCCAAUAUGGAAAUCUUUCUCUCCUUCCUAAGCUCAGUUCAGACCCUAAAAUCUGGUGUGUGUCUGCCCCCAUCCCUCCUCUCGGAUUUGCAAAAUACCUUUUACGUCUUCGGCUGCUCCCUUUUUUUUUUUUUUUGGUAUAAUCCAUUAAAGCGCAGAUUUGAGUUGAGCAGGGGAAGGGUCCAGAAGCCUGCCCUCAUUAACCCUGAUCUGUGCAGGGUUAAUGAUAAGGGACACUGAGGUGAGAAGAACACAAGGUCUGGAGUGGACUGGUCGCAGAGACUGGAGACAGGCACCAGGGCAGAGUCCAGAUCUAUUUGGGACUGGAGAUUGGCCAGUGCUGGGAGAUAGAGCUGGGUCUAGUUCUAUCACUUGUAGCUGGCUGCAGCCUCUUCCUCCCCCCACAGGUGGGGUCUGUUGGGUUCAUGUGUUUACCUUGAUAAAUUGUGAUAAAGCUACUGGAGGUGGUUGAUGAGCAGCUGCAGAAAAUGACUCACCCUUGCAGACCUUGCCUCGGACCUUCAGGACUCCUUCCAGGGGAAGUCUCCCACACUCAGCCUGCUCUGGGCUUGGGCUUGGGUAUUUCUACUGGGCCAGCUUUUCUGGUCUGUGACUUCUGGGUGGGAGUCAAGUAGGUACAAGUUGGCAGGUGUGGUGUGGGAGGGCUGCUUGUGGGGGUGGAAUAGAAUGUCUCAGAACACACCCCUGGCUGUAGGUGGUUUUUCUGGCUUCAUCAAUUCCUUCUUCCAUUAGAAUGGGCCAAGAACUGCUGCUUCUUCCAUAAAAGCUGUAUAGUGGUGUGCCUUCAUGUGUUGUGGAGGCAGGGGUAGGGGGCCGGGGCAGGUGUUGGAAAGGAAGAAUGAGAGCCAUGCAAAGUAUGUAAAUGCAUCUCCCUUGACAUAGUUAAUAUGCUCCUGGAAAAAUAUUGAAUCAUACUUUAAAUCUAUCACUGAAAUUGAUUUUGCAUGCACUUACGGCAGUUUACUAUUUAAGGAAACUUAUGAUAAUUUCUCUAUUCAUUUCAAUCAUUUUAUUUUUGGAGUACCUGUGGUUUGCUGGGCUUAGAGUUUCCAGGGGAUGUGCAUAGAUGAAAGAGGCACCCUCCCUACUGUCAGAGUUUUAGUCUAAAAGAGAAGUCUAGAGAUAGCUGUGAUGCAAACCAGUGCAUUUUCGGCAUGUAGUAGAUGCCCUAUGUUUACUGGAUGAAGUAAUGAAGGGAUAAAUGAAUGAGUAAAGUAACUAAAGUGUGGUCCAAAUAAAACAUUUUGGCAGCUGGGCAAGGUGACACAUGCCUGUAAUCCCAGCUACUAGGAAGACAGGAGAAUCACAAGUUCAAGACCACCUUGGGCAACUUAGUGAGAUCUUGUUUCCAAAUAAAAAAUAAAAAGGGCUCAGGAUGUGGCUCAGUGGUAAAGCAUCCCAGUACCAGAAAAUGAAAAAACAACAUUUUGGGAAUAUGGAAGAGAAGUCACUUCUGACUGAAGGGAUCUAAAAGGCUUUGUGGGGAGGUCUAGGAGGAAGGGGUAUGUGCUGAAAAGUUGAUCCUGAAUUAGGACUAGGCCCUUAGGGAUACAGUGGAGGAAGAGGCUGAGAUAAGGACUUCAGGAACUUAGUUUUCUAGCCAUUGGGGAAUGUUUGGGAUUUUUGAGCAAGAAACUAUCAUGAUCAGAUAUGUGCCUUUGGGUGAUUAAUCUCUUGCAGAAAAAAAUUGGGGCUGGAGGAAGAUGAGAGGCAGGGAACCGAGAGAAGUUUCGGUAAUAAGAUGGUGGGGGGAAGCUGUGAAGGUCCGAGUUGGUGGGUGGCAGUGCUAAGAAGAAAAGAAGAUUUGUCAGACGUGAAGUGUGGGCACUGUAGGAUUUGGAGAGAAGAAACAAUGAUCCCCUGCAGGUUAUGAGAACAAGUACACAGGGGCUGAAAUCUGAAGUGUUAACAUUUGACAAACCAGAAGCCUGGAGAACUCUUUCCAGCCUUCUCUUUCUUCUACCUCUCCUUGUGAAACCUUUUGUGGCUCUCGGGUCCCAUGGGAUAAAUUCCAGAUCCUUUGUGACUCUUCAGACUUCUUACUUGCUGUGUCCCCCAACACACACACACACACACACACACACACACACGGGUGUAGAACUCCUGACCUGUCAUGGCUCCGCCUUUACAAAGCUGUUUUUCUUCAGUGGCAGUGAUAGGGUGGUCCCUGGAGUAUUCUUUCUUCACUGAUCCUCCUAAUAAACUUCUUCAAGUCCAGCUCAAGGGCGUCUCUGUGAUUUCAGCUGCUCUCUCCAGAAGGCGCUGAGUAGUCCUUUACAUGUACCCCUCAGCUCCUACAAAGCCCUAUAAGUGUUCAUCAGGUUGCCCUCAGCCUGCUUCUUUAGGACCUUAUCUUAUUCAUGCCCAGAUAAGGCCUGGAACAGGCCAACUUCCUCAGGCUAGACAGGGAGAGAAAUAGAGGGACAUCAAUUGUACUGUAGGUGCCUCUCAGCUGUGACUUGAAAGCUCCAGGCCUGGUGGACUGGCAAGACAAACUGAGCUGUGGAUACUCCCUUGCCCUAGGUUGCAUAGGCCUAAGUGACUCAGACCAUGACGGUCGGUGGCAUCCCUACUGGGAGGUGGUCCCGGGUCCCUACUACACCAAUCACAAAGGGAAAAAUUCCCAGGAAGAUGAAUUCACCAAAGGUCAGGACCAAACCCAGAGAGGCUGAAUCUCUUAGAGAACAUAGAUUUGGAGACUCAGCACUUUUAACUUUUUUUUCUGUUUUCAGAGUUAUCUCCACAGUGCCAACAUGAUGCUGAGGACAGUUGUUUCAAGGGUAGGAAGAGCUAGGCAGACAGGUAGACAGGCAGAAAAGUGUGAGAAGGACCACCACUCAGAAGGAGGAAAAAGACACAGAUAGAGACGGAGAACAGUGGCAGUGAAGGCUGACCGCGGGGCCAGGGUGCAAGGGAUGAAGGAGAAAAUGAUUGGCAAGACAUCAACACUGCAUGCAGAGUGUGCAGGUUGCAAAUAAUCCAGAGUAUUUUGAGGUGAUGCCACCAUUGAAGAAAGGCUUUUCAGGAGAGUUCCCAGAUUCCCCUCCCAGUCAUUUUUGGUAAGCAAAAGAGAAUGGGGAGAGAAUAGAGAAGCCAUGUAAGUGGUUUUGGGAGGGAAGAGGCCAGAGACAAUAAAGUGCAGGGAAAGAAGAAAGCUCGUUUAUGCUGUCCCUAGAAAGUGGGAGAGAAGCAGAGGGGGGUGAGGGAGCCUGCAAUGUGAGGGGUGGGUAGCUGGGGGGACAGGGAGUGGAGUCUUCUCAGUGAAACAGGAGGGCAUCUGCUGAGAGCUAGGAGGCAUUGGUGAGGCUGGGGGGCUUGGAGGAAGGAUCUGCAUUACUGCUGUUGGCCAGGGGAGGUGAACCUGGUGCCUGGCACCUUGUGGGCUGGCCAGGAGGGAAAGGAAGGGUGACUGAAUUGGAAUCAGAGACUUAACUAGAAUCCCGGUAGUGCAGAGAACUUCUUGCCAGCCAGGGCACUGGAAUUUCGAAGCCUCUGCUGGCUCAUGUGUAAAGAUGGUGCAAUGGCUGCUUCUCAGAGUUGUUCUUAGGCAGUAUGCAGAGAGAUACUGAGGUGUGUAUGCAGGCCCCUCAAUGACAGCAUCUGGGUCUUUUGGAACAGUGCAUCAAGAGAGGAAUAAACCUCUCACCAAAGUCGGCGAGAGCCCAGCUGAAUAUAGAAGUCAGGGCUUUUGAGAGGUUUUGAACCAAAAGCUUUGGACUGUUCUGAGCAGCCUGGCCUCCUUGUUCCCACCUUAAGGAAUUUUUAGGAUCUCUCUCUCUCUCUCUCUCUCUCUCUCUCUCUCUCUCUCUCUCUUCAAAUCUGUUGGCUUAUAGCAGUGGCUACACCUGUAUUUCACUUCCCUCUUAUGUAAAGAUGUUACGGGGCUGAAAGGGACAGCCUGGGUGACAUCCAUGUCCUCUGUGGUUUGGAAGGAGGAAAAGCACUCAAACUUGCCUUUGAGGAAGCUAAGGCCCAGAAAAGCAGAGAACUUGCCACAUUCAACAACUGGAACUAGAACUGCAGACUGCACUUGCUUAUCUGAGGGACUGGUGUCUCAAUUGUGCAGGGUGGGUGAGGGCAGAUUAAACACCUGCAUCUCCUGGGCUUUAUCAAUGGGUCUUUGAUUACACAUAGAAAGAUUAAAUAAAUAUUCUCACUUGUUAGUGAAGGUGGGGGGAAAGGAGCUCUUAAAUUUAUUUAGUAACACACUCAAUACAUGUGUUCAAAAUUAAAUGAAAUUUCGGAGAAACGUUAAGAAUUUUUUUUUUUUAAGAAAAUUGAGGUAUAGAAAACAAUUCUCAAAUUAUUUUUUAUUUUUCCACCCAGAUAAUUUUUGUCUAGAUUAUGUUGUCCUUUGGGACUCUGCAUAUGUUGUAUAUAAAGUGAUAGAUCCUUUUAUGGCAUUUCAAACUUUGAAAGUCUUGAUCUCAUAAUAUUCAUCUUCCAGAAAUAGAAAAAAAAAGAAUGGAAUUGGGAAGGUAAAUGUUUCUUAUGGGUUCUGAGCAGGGGGAUUUGAAGCCAGAUAGGGUAUUUGAUUCAGUCUGUCUGUGAGCUCAAGAGUUCUGCAUUCUGUUGACAAAUAUGUUCAAGAAAACACUGGAUCAUUUAUGGAUUGAAAACUCAGUGGGUGAAGAGGCCCUCUGUGAUGUGAUGGGCAGCUGAGCCAAGAGAUGUUUUGUUAAAGCACCAAAUAUGUGGAGAAGACAUCUUCAUCUGUGGAGUCUCUUCACCUCUGGGAAGAGGCCUCCCCUGGCCUGGCUUCUCAGAUGUCAAUAGCACCUUCUCUACCUUACACCCAGUCCCCAUCCUUAGAGGACCUACUAUACUAUGCUUGCCUUGCCCACAUGAAUACACUGUGAGUGAAAUGGCUAGGCUAUCAAUUUGUAGAAAAUCAGAAACUUAAGAUUCUUAACUCUCUUUAUGAUACAGUCUAGUGAAACUAGAUAGUAAUGAACAUCUCGCUGAUGAAGUCUUCUUGGAUUAUUUGUUUUUAGGUUAUUGAGUGUUUCGUUGCCUCUUCAAGCCCUCUAGGACACACAAAGAUGUUUUGAAGAAGCAGGCUUAGGGGAACUGACUUUGCAGCAAAGUAAACUUAUUUUGAACACAAAAUUGUUGCAAACUUUGAAUGAAAUAAUAGCAAGAAGGUAGAGGAAAUUCUGUUGUGAGAAGCAGCCUGAAAUGCCUAGAUAUUCAUAGGAGGAUAAAAGAAAUCACGGACUCUUAGGAAUCUGUGAAUCCUUGAAAGAGCAUAAUCCAAUUCUUUGCCUUCAGGUUGCAGUAAAUGUAGCUCUUUCCAGAUAGGAUCUGUGCUGUUUUAACAGCUUCCUGAGGAGAGGCUUCCACGGUAUAUUUGCACUUAACAGAAUGCUGCCCCAGACAGAGUCCUUUGAGGUAUUCUGGCAGGAGUGGAAAUGAGUUUGGGCUGAACCACUCCUGCUCUCAUUUUUAUCAAUACUUGGACACCUCUAGUACUUGGCUUUGCAAGCACUAGACUUGUACUCUGCUACCUCAACCCACUCGUUCAAGAUAAAACACACACACCCUGUUGUCCUGAAGUCUGAGGACUGAUCAUCCUGCUUUGCUAAAAAUAAAGAUGGCAUUCAUACAAUGCAGGAUAGGAUUCCUGUCUGAGCAGGGACACACUUGGUGCUGUGGAAAUCCAAAGUCAGUUCCCUGGCUGGGACCUGCCCCCUGAGGCAGUAGGAUUUGAGCUGGGAACAGGGUAGGAGAAAGAGCAAUUGGGGAUCACGGCAUACACACGGUAGGGGAGAGAGGAAGGGAACUGGGUUGCAGUGGGGAGGGUUCUGGCCAUCCAGAGGAAGCUGGUGGGAGGCCAGAGAGGACCAGGGAGCUUUACACUCCUGGAGUCCUUUCUGACCAAGGAGAUUUGGAGAUUCCUAAAGGGGAAGAUAGAAUAAACAGCAACUCUUGUCCCUUUCACAGAAGGCCAGCCUGGCCCUCCUGUUUAAACAUUAUGAGAUGUUAUUGCAAUUCUGAUACUCUAUAAGACUGUUCUGAAGAGCAGAGAGACAAGUGUGUCAGCUAUGAUAUCUUGGGGUGACACACACAAGCUUGAACACUCAGUAAUGCAACUCACCUGGGAAGAGUUCCAGUGACUUAGCCACCAGAAGUGUCUUCAACAACUCGAUCCCUCUGUGCAGUGAACAUUAAGUGGUUCUUGAGACUACUGAGGUUUGCAUGCAGGUGAUCAAAAACAAUCCUGAACUCUCUUCCAGUAUUCCAACAUUCCAUUUUCUGCACCUAAGAAGACGAGAAGAGAGCCAACUUGAAUAAAACAAGACGUCAAUAAACUCUGCAUUUUUUGUGAGUUGGCCAAUGACACAUAAAAUGUCUGAUUUCAGCUGUUUCAAAACAGACGCCUCCCCCUCUUUUUUGGCACAGUUUAUUUUAUAGAGAUUUGGGUAAAACUAGAUUGUGCUAUAAUGGGUCUCCUGGUGAAGAAAAUUAACUUCCAAGGAUAAAGCAGCCAUGCAAAUAUUAUUACAAAAUCACUCAGCAUACAAAAUUGGCAUAGCUUUCCUCCACAGUUUGCUACUGCCCACUCUUCACUCCUACCCCACCCUGGUCACUGUUAUUCCCAAUAUCAUUAGGCUAAAAGAAGAGACAGCUGUCCCUAAAAAAUGUGCACCGCGUGUCCCCAUCUGCAUAGCUUCUCAUGAGAGAGCAAGCAGUGAGGUGGUGAGAUGAGAGGAAGAUACUGGAAAGGUUUGUGUUAACCCCUCCCUGCACCUCGUCCUCAUCUCUGAAAACCUGAGCAGAUGUGAGGAUGAUUGAUUUAUUUGCUGGUGAAUGCUGUGAAGCAUUGGUCAGCAAUUUGGGGCAAAGGGAAAUGCAUAUGACACCUGAGCACUCUUCCUAUAUUCUAGUUCCUCACCUGCUUGUUUUCAGAGGGCCAUCUUUAUCUGGAGCAUCUCUGAAGAUGAGCUGUCUUUCCCCUCUGUUCUUCAGGAUCCAGUACAAUGUCCAGUCAUGGGUAGAACUGAAAAUGGUUUCAGUGUUCACCGUUCGGCAGCCACUGUUCUAGACACCUUAUGUGAAUCGACUCAUCCAGUUCUCAUAACAACCCAAUGAGGUAGAGACUAUUAUUCCUCCUAGGGCUGCCAUAACAAAGCAGCCCAAAUUUGGUGGCUUAGAACAAGAGAAAGUUAUUCCCUCUCAGUUGUGGAGGUCAGAAGACUGAAAUCAAGGUGUUAGCCGGGCCGGGCUGCCUCACAAGGCUCUAGGGGAGAAUCCUUCCUGGUGUCUUCCAGCUUCUGGUAGCUGUUGACAUUCCUGUGACUCUCACUCCCGUCUCUGCCUCUGCCUUCACAUUGCCUUCUCUGGGUGUCCGUGCACUCUCCUGUCAUGUCUGCAUGGCUCUACUUUGUCUGUUCUAAGGACAUUGGAUUUGGGGAUUGCCAGAUAAUCCAAGAUGAUCCCAUCUCAAACUCCUUUAUUUAAUUACAUCCUCAAAGACCCUUAUACAUAUCUUUGUGGGAGCCAUUAUUUAAUCCACUACAUACCUGUUUGCAGAUGGAGAAACGGUGGGGCAGAGGGCUUAAGCAGAUUCUCUUAGGUUGUACAGGUCUGAGUUGGAGGGACUGGAUUUAAAUACAGCAGCCUGCCUCUAGAGCUUAAAUUCUGCAUUCUUCUUGGAGGGGGUUGCGGGGGCUUCUGGGAUUGAACCCAGGGGUGCUUAACUACAGAGCCAUAUCCCCAGCUCUUUUUUAAAUUUUAUUUUAAAAAUUUGAAACAGGAUCUUGCUAUAUUGUUGAGGCUGGCCUCAAACUUAUGAUCCUCCUGCGUCAGUGAACCAAGUUGCUGCUCAGUGAUUGUUUAUGAUAUGAAAGGAUGGCAGGAUGAGAGUAGAUAGAUGAUUUUAAAAAAUGCUGAUGGCUAUAGCUAGUUAACAUUCUUCCUCCCAAUGUAUUGAAAAUAACUAAUAUCCAUUGUUUUAUGAUGUUGUCCAGGGAGAUUCCAACUAUCUCAAGAGUUUUGCCUUCCAAAUUUAUGUUUCUAUCCUUGUCUUCUCCACUGAAUCCCAGACUCAUGUGCACUACCUGCCCCUUUAAUAUUCCCAUAUGGGUAUGUCACAUGCAUCUCAAAGCAAACAUGACCAAAAUGAUGUUUCUCCUUCAAGCUAGUUCUUUUCCUACUAUCUCCGUAAAUGGCACCCACCCCCAGACUCACCCCCCUCAAUCCAGAAACCAUUCUUUAUUAUUCUUUUUUCCCCACACCCUACAUUCAGAUCUGUAAGUGGCAGUCCUUUCCUCUAAUAUCCACCUUCUUCUCCCCAUCCACGGCAGCCACAUGGUUAAGGUCACUGUCAUUCUGUCCCUGGAUCCCUGCUGCAGGUGCUUCCUAACCAGGACUCCUGAGGACACUUUUGAUGUCCCAACGGGACCUUUCUCCUCAAAGCAGUCAGAGGGUUUUGUUGUUUUGUUUUUUUUUUCUCCAAAGACUUUAGUGUAGUUUUAGGUUCACUGCUAAAUUGAGAGUAACUGUGUUAGUCAAGUUUUUAUCCCUCUGACUAAAAUACCUGACAAGAACAACUUAAAAGAGGAAAGAUUUAUUUUGACUUUUGGUUUCAGAGGUCUCAAUCCAUGGUCAGCCAGUUUUAUUGCAGAAACAUGAUGGCAGAAGGGCAUCGUGGAGGAAAGCUACUCAGCUCAUGGCACCUAGGGAGCCAAGAGAAAUAGGAGCCAGGAACAAAAUAUAGUCUCCAAAGGCAUACCCCCGGUGACCUACCUUCUCCAGCCACGCCCACCUGAUAGUCCAUUCAAAUUAUUAAUCCAUCAAAUGGUUAGUCCCCUGAUGAAGUUAUAGCCUUCACUAUUCAAUCAUUGCCUUACAUUACCUCCGAACCUUGUUGCAUUGGGGACCAUACAACACAUGAGUUUGGGGGGUCAAUCCAUAUCCAAACCAUAAGAGUAACAUUCAGAGAUUUCCCAUAUACCAUUUACCCCCACACAUGCACGGCCUCCCCCAUUAUCAACAUCCUCCACCAGGGUGAUACAUUAUCACACCUGAUGAGUCUACACAGACAAUGAUGUUAUCAUCAAAGUCUAUAGUUUACAUUAGGGUUCAUCCUGCUAUGGCACAUUCUGUUUGGACAAACGAAUAAAGACAUGAAUCCACCAUUACAGUAUCAGAUAAGGUGGUUUCACUGCCAUAAAAAUUCCCUGUGUUCUACCUAGUCAUCUCUUACUCACCUCUGUCUCAGAGGGGGUUUAUAAAAAUCUCUGUUCAAAUCAUGUCACUCCCGAGCUUAAAACUGGGCCAUUCUCAUUGUCAUUUGGCCCACCUCUCUUACCACUUAGUCUCUUCCCUCUGUGCCCUGACACAUCAUCACUCCAUUCUGCAACAAAAGUUCUAUCUCACAAGUGCCCUUCUCUGGGAUCCUCCAAGGCAUCUUGUCUACAAACCUAUAACCUAAAUUAUAGGUUUGGUAGCACCUCCUGGGGUGCUAUCACUGACUGAUUCCUUACUGAAAUAAAGUCUUUGAUUUAUUAAUUUAUUUUCUAUCUCACAUGUUAGAAUGUAAGCUUAAUUAAAGCAAAGACCUUGUGUUGCUCUUGUAUCUCAAGUGCCUACAACAGUACCUGGUAUAAAGCAGACAUUAAAUAGAUAGUGUUUGAACAAAUCGAGCACUUUAUUUUGGGCCCUGUUCCCAAUUACCCUUAUUUUUUGGAUGAAAAAUUGUACUUUCAGAAAGGUUAACCAACUUCCCUGAAGUACUUAUCUAUUCAGAGCAAGAAUCUGAAUCCAGAUCUGUUUGGCCAGUCUCUAUUCUCAACAAGUGUCCCAUACAUAAUCUCUAAGAAGCAAUAACUGCCCAGGAACCCUGAAGUCUCUACAGAGUUCUGAGCUUUCUAACUCCUUUUCCUACUUAUAAAUCCAGGACACAGGUAACACAGAGAGAAGAAAUAUACUUCCUGGACUGUCCAGUGUAUUAUUUCUCUGAAAAGUUGACCUAGGACUUAAGCUUUGAGAAGUUAAGAGUUAAUUUUGCUUUUUCUCUACUUUGGGACUUUUUACGAUUCAUCUUGAGAUUUGAUGAAUUAAACCCUCUUCCUUGAAUGCUUAAAGGAAAGGCAGAGAUGGCCUCUUCCUCCUCCUGACUUUUGGUACACAUGAGCACGUUUUUGUGGGUUGGUCUUUUCUGACUCCAUAUCUCUUCUCAGUUGAUUGAGCCCUAGAGCAAGAACAUGGACUUCACUGUCACUAGAUUGGUUGGUAGCAAGACCCUCUCCAUUGGGACUUGCUCAAAGACUGGACCAUUUUUCUGGCACCAACUUUGGGUCAGUUAUGGAAGAGGCCAAAGACAGGUUCUUUCCAGGUAUGGAGCUUCGAGGCUGUAGAUUGGAAGAAUGAAAAAGCAUCUUCUUCUUGUUGAACCAUUUUUUUAAGGGUUCUCUUGUUGCCCACAGUGGCCUCAGACUCUGGAUUCAAGCAAUUUUCCUGCUUCAGCACCCUGAGUAGCUGAAAUUGCAGGUGCACAUCACCAUGCCUGACUUAGACCCCCUUUUAAAAAUCAGGUCCAUCUUGGGAAUUCCAUUAGCAUCCUGGUAAGUAAACAUUAGAUAUGAACCUACUCUUUCAGGCAAAUAGAAAUUGAGAGGUUGUCUAAGAUCUUCAAGUGUUGGUUGGGUUUUUAUUCAUAGGAAGGGCUAUGGCAAUUGAUUAUUGCAUCUGGCAAAUAUAGCUGCUUUCUUGCAGGAAGGCAGACUCUGGCCAUUGGAUAUGUCAUGCGCUCCACCUCUGCUGUCAUGAGUGGGGUUUGCUAUGGUAACCAGAGCUUUGCCUGAGGGUUGUGCAUGUAAAGUGUCAUUCAUUGGUAGUACCUUUUAUUUUUAGCAUAAACCAAAGAGGAGCUGCUCAUUGUUCCUGCUAACAGGCAGGUGGGUAGUCAUAAUGGAGGCUGGGAUGAAUUGAUAUGCUGUUCUCCUGUGAAUAUCAGCACCCACCACAGUCCUCAUUUGUUGGAUCGUGAUGUACUUCUGGAAUUCUAUUGGUUAAAAUCCUUGCUGGAACCCCCACAGUAGGAUAGUUGGACUUACUAUAUUUUAACAACUCUUUGUCAACUGCUGUUCCCAUCUCCAUCCUGACACAGCAUGUAGGUUUUGCUAAUAAUGGUGAUCUUGCAGAUAGGAGGAGGGUAGCUUCCUGUAAAGCCAUUGAAAGCUGAGAAAGCUCAGCAAACAUUUGAAGGAGGUAGUAUUUUCCCUCUCAACAUGAUGCUCAGUUCUCUCCUAGAGCUUUUACUUUGUCCUCAGUGCUCUCAAAAAACAUUUUUUUUUCUUUUUCGUUCAACUAAUAUUUAUGUGUUACAUGCCUUGUAAAGAAAGUAUACAUACACUUCUUAUUCUGUGCAUGGGGAAUAAAAAUAAAAUUUUGACUUUCUUGAAGUAUUAUUCAUAUCAAAUUGUCUGUUGUCUGGGCCAGGAGUAGGGAAAAUGGUGAAAUAUUGUUUCAAGAAAAAGUGAGUCACCUGAACCUCAGUUUUGUUGAGGGCUUGGAGCUGGCUGAGAACCCCCUCAGCAUAUUUGCUGAUACAGUUUUAGGGUUGAGUGGAUCUGGGGCCAUUGUGCUCCAUUACCUGUUCACCCAAGAAUGCAAACUAUCAUCUGAAGCAACACUGGAGUCACAUCUCGAGGUGAUAUCAGCUAAGGUCAGAAACCGUAGACUAGAAGGUUCUUUCAUGGAUAGACUAUAUCCUAUGGGAUGGAUGCUGUGAGUCAAAUGCCCAGUGCAGUACUGGACCACAGUAGCCCCAUCAUGAAGUUUUUUUUUUUUUAAAUGAAUGAAAUCAGGUUCAACUGGCAUGUCUAGGUGGGAGAGAAGAACCUGGGCUAUACUUCAGGUCAUACUUACAGCCAAUACCUGAGGAUCCCCAAAGGCUGAUGAAGUCCAACCCUUCACAGCAUAUAGUCUUGAGAGAGAUAGGAAAUGCAGAGCUAAUUAGGAUUUGGGAUCUAUGGGAAGGUGAAUCUUCUGAUAAAUUCAUAUGGAGGGUAGUCCUUCCAUCAAAAAUGUUUUUCCAAACAGAUUCCCAUUUUACACACUAAUCAUUUUACUUAUUUAUUUUGGUACUGGAGAUUCAAUCCAGGGGUGCUCUACUCUAUCCUUGAGCUACAUCCCCAGCCCUUUUUAUAUUUUAUUUUGUAACAGGGUCUUGCUAAGUUGCUUGGGCCUCACUAAGUUGCAGAGGCUGGCUUUGAACUUGAAAUCCUCCUGCCUCAGCUUCCCAAGUCUCUAGGGUUAUAGAUAUGUGCACUGCUCCCAGCUACACACUAAUCAUUUAGAUGUUGUCAUGAGCUACCAAUUGAACAUUCUUGCUCAGCCCUGUGCAUUCAUUCUGUAAAUCGAAUAUUUGAGACCUACCAUGUGUUAGACGCCUAUAUUCUAGUAAGGAAGGCAAACAUUCAAUAUGUUUUAAGCUGAGUCCAAAAGAACAUGACACCCUAGAGAUGUUCUCCAGCCCACUACACUUUGCAAACUAUUCUUACAGAGGUCACUAAUGAGGUCCACAUUUGCUAAAUCCAGGAUUAUUUCAGAGCCUCUUAUUAGAUCCCUCAAAGCCUUUGGUAUUCACAGUCCAUCCCUCUUUUCUCCUUGAACGCUCCUUCCUGGCUCUUGAGCAAUGGGCUCCCCAGGUGUUCCUCCUUGUGUAACAGCCAGCAUUUCUUCUAGUUUGUUUGGCUGCCAGCUCUUCUCUCUGACCCCUGCAGGGCCCAAGACUCAAUGCUUGGACUUCUUAUCUGUCUUUCUGUGACUGCUGUCUGUGAUGUCAGUCGUCCUGGCUUUAAAUACCAUCUGUAAGCCAAGAACUCUCACCAGUCUCCCUCUAUCUUGUACUGCUUGGACACAUAAGGACAUACUCCACAACUCUGCUGAAUGGCUAAGGGUCAUCCCAAACUUCAGCAUCCAAAACCAGGUUCCUGAUUCCCACCCUGACCUUUCUGGAUGCUUGUCUCUGGUUAGUCCUUGAAAAUAUAUCUAGAAUCCAGACUGUAAAACCUCAGUGGUAAAAUGCUUUGCCUAGCAUGCAUGAGGCCAUGGGUUCCAUCCCCAGCACCAAUGUAAUAAUAAUAUUACUAUAUAUCCCUAUAAUCCAGUCGUUAUUAAUCACUUCUCAUCUCUCAGACCCUUUCAGGACUCUCCUAAUUGCUGCUGUUCCCUUUCCCCUCAUGGUUUAUUCUCAACAGGGCAGCCAGAACGAGUCUAGUAAAAUGUAAAGCAUUUCAUGACACUUCUCUGCUCAGACCUUCCCAAUACAUCCCGUCUCACUUAGAGUAAAAGCCAAACUCAUCACCUAGCCCACCAGGCGCUUACUGAGCUCUGUCUUUCCUGUGCCCUUCCCUAUCUGCCUCCACCUCUGCCACUGUCCCACAGCUCCAGCUUUACCAGCUUGCUUCUGCCUCAGGGCCAUCACCCCUGCUGUUCCCUCUGCCUGGAAUGAUCUUCCUUCAGGUCUUGUCGCCUGGUUCUCCCUCACUUCCUUCAGAUCUUGAUUCAAAGGCUCCCCUUGGUGAAGUCUUUUGUGCCACCUUCCUCUGGUCUAAGAUUUCAUAGCUCCCUUCUCAGCUUUAUUUUCUCCUUAGCACAUUGUCAGUCUUUUGAUAUAUAUUUUACUGACUUAAUUUGCUGUUCCGCUUGCUUCAGAUUGAAUGUAAAACUGACGGUGGUAUUUUUGAGGGUUUCUAUUUGGUUCACUGUUCCAUCACCGAUAUUUAGAGUAAUGCCUGGCUUAUUGUAGACAUUCAGGAAAUAUUUGUUGAGAGACUGAAUUAGAAUCAUGGGUAUCUUUAACUUAAAUCCGAUGCCCCAGGGAGUGUGAUCUAAUUGGCACGAGGCACAGCCCAAGCACUGGUAUUUUUUGACACCUUCCCAGGUUAUUCUAAUGUGAAGCCAGAAUUGCAAACCACUGAUUUGUCAUCUGAACUCUCUGUUAUUGUUCUCCUUCUUGGAAGUUUACCUCCCGUGGCAUAUGUUGUUGCUUUUCCUAGAAAAUCCAUUAGUUUUAAAUUUUAAAUUGCAGUGGAUGGUUUUAAUGGAAUUUGUGCUGUGUGUGAUAGCGUAUUAGGGUUUUAAUUGGAGCAUCUUGUUAGAGUGAAUACAAUGGACAUUCAUCUCUCUAAGACCUUGGCUGAACUUGGAUGGGGAGGACAAGUGUGUUCUUUGUUAAUUCCCCAGUUGAGCGUCAGACUUUUGUUUUUUUAUUUGAAAAGUGAGAGGAGAUUUGAAUCUGGCUAAUUGUAAACUUCAUUUGCCUAAAUGGGCUAUUCACAUCUAUUCUAUCUCCCCCAAAUGUCCACCUGCCCGCUGUCUAAAUUCUACCCCUCCCUCGGGGCCCAGGUAAAGUCUCAUUCCCUUUGAAAAGUGUACCCUGCUCUCCUAACCCACAGCCUCUCCCAGAACCCGGGCACAUUCACUUGGCAUCAAGCCCCAGUGGCUUUGUUUGGCAAACUCUGUGCCUAAAGUAUCUUUUUUGUACCCUUCUCAGACUAGACUAUAACCUCUCUGAGGGCACGGGGCCAUCUUUUUUACCUCUUUAUGUUCCCAGCAGCAAGGAAUAAACAGAUGUUGAUGGAUUAGUUAAACCAUUCUUGUUUAAUGCAUUGGCAGCAUCCACUAAGGACUUUGCCUGGGGAAGAGGACGCCUUGCUCGUCAUAAUUAGGGAUUGAACACCUUGGUGUUUUUCCACCCUGGUUUGAUCUGUGUUUCUUUCUCUCUCUCCCUCCCUCCCUCCCUCCCCACCCCCCCCUCUCUCUCUCUCUCUCUCUCUAUAUAUAUAUAUAUAUAUAUAUAUAUACACACACACACACAUAUUUAAAAAAAAGCAACUGAAACAGCUUGCAAGACUUAAGACCCCUAGUUUUCAAUACCCUACUUGAAAAUGAUGUAGUCAAGAAAGCUCAGCUAAAAUCACAUUUGGCUUUAUUCUGAAAAUCAGAUUUAAAGAAUUUUAAAUGAAACUGCAUUUUAGGACUGCAGAGAGGAAGCUCCAAGACAGGGUAAUGGGGCACUUUUUAGGUCUCUUUCUAUUUGAAGUAGGGACUUUUCUAUUAUGUUGUCAUUAUCAAGUUAACAUUCUUUCAUUUCAAUAGCCUGGGGGAGAUCAGGUAACCUGAUACAUUGGUUUGAAAACUAGGUUCUUAACACCUUUGUGGCCUUUUGAAGGUCUUGGCUUAGAGAAAAGUGAUGUCAUGGUGAGACAGGAAAUGUUAUAAAGCUGUAAAAUGUCAUAAACUGAUUUCCAUCUGGUCGUAGGUGUAUGAGAUAUAGCAAAGAAAAAAGUGCAGGGUAAGGUUACUAGACCUGUGUAUCAUAGGAAAGCUGUUGACCUUGCAUGUCCACACUUCUCAGCAAGUUGUUUGGAUGGUCCUUUGUUUUUUGUUUUGUUUUGUUUUUUUGGUACUAGGGAUUAAAUUCAGAGGCACUUGACCACUAACCACAUCCCCAGCCCUCUUUUGUAUUUUAUUUAGAGACAGGGUCUCACUGAGUUGCUUAGUGCCUCGCUUUUUGCUGAGGCUGGCUUUGUACUUGUGAUUCUCCUGCCUCAGCCUCCUGCUGACAUCCCUGUAGAUAAGAUGGAGAAAUAUGGACCAGGCAGCAGCGCAGCAGCACAUGGAUUGACAGCCAUGCAAAGGGGCUGAUGGAUUGGGGGCCAUGAGGGCAGAGUGAGAGUCAGAGUGCAAAGAGUGAGAGUCAGGCACAGUUCUGCCAUUGGCAUUAUCCUGCUCCUUUUCAACAUUUUUACCAACAAUCUGAAUAAAGGCAUGGGUGACAUGUUUAUCCCAUUUGCUCAUGACCCAGAUCUGGGAAGCAUAGUGACCUCAUUUCACAGCAGAAGCAGAUUCUAAAUAGACCUACAGGGGAGGCCAAGUCUUGCAGAAGUCAGCCAACGGGCUCAAGUGAAGAUCCUGUGCUUAAGUCUGAAAAAGCUAACUUCACUUAUUACGGGAUGAUCAGAAGCCUGUUUUAACAGCAGCCUUUGUGGAAAGGAUUUAGGCAGUUCCUUGGUCCACGUGCACCAACACUGUGGUAUGACUCUUAAUAAAUUACUCCCAGGUGUGAGGGGCCCCAAAACAGAGUGCUGAGCUCUGCACUAGGUCCCACAUGUCGACACUGUUGUGUGCCACUCUGGGCAAACAUGUAGUAUAAAGUGACAUCUCCAGAGGCAAAGACCCAAGAUGGAGAGUCAUUUGCAGGAAAGAUGGUGGCUGCCUCCAAGUUCUUCCUUUCCAGCUGGUACCCAUAAGGGGCAUCACUUUAUCUGCUCUUUGCUAAUGAGCUCCCCAUCUCCUUUCCUUUAGCUGCCCCACCUUCCCAAGUCUCUGCAUCAAAUAAGUUCAACCACCUACAUUUUCAGCCACUGUGUCCUGGCUGCUUAAUGUUUUUAUGAAAGGAAAACCACUCACCACUCAGCUCUUUGGAUUGGUGUAACUGCAGCGUGAUGGUCUCUAAAUUCAUCAGAAUUCAGAGUCUCCCUUAUAGGACUGCAAUCAUACAAAGGGAAGAAAAUCCCCCAGUGUCUAUCCUAACUCCUUUGUCCUAAAUCCGUAACAAUCACGUUACUUAAAAAAUUGGUCUCUCCUGGCUGCUUUCACUUUUUAAAUCUCUCAUUAACUUCUCAAUGGACUGUGCAGUCAGAUUUCCACUCCCAUCCUCUAGAGAAAUUACCUGGGGGUCCACCUGUGGGCCCCUACCGCUAAUCCACUGGGAGCUUUUCAACACUAACUUCAGUUGACGUGUGACAGUCCCCCUCUCAUGAGACCCUACUCUCCUGGCUUCUCUGACACCAUCUCCCUCCUAAAGCUCCUCCCACCUCUUUAGUGUACACAGUCUCAUCUCUGAGCUCCUCUCCAUAGAGCCUGUCAAGUAAUUUUUUAGCAACAAACUUUAUAACCCCUCUAUUUUUUAAAUUAGGUUCUAUUUUUGCCUCAUAACAAUUUAUGUUCUCAUCUCCCCUGGGCAAUUGGAGCCAAAUCUGCAACUUCAGCCACCCCCUAUGUACUGAUCAUUCCAAAUCUGUAACUUUAGUCCUAACCUCCUCCUGAGCUCUGGACUCACAUAUCUACCUAAAAAUCUCCAUCUGGGCAACUCAGCUCUUCCAAAGCAACAUAUCCCAACUGAGCUUCUCACCUUCACCUCACACACCUUGCCCUCUUCCUCUUUCCCUAGGUUGGCCAAUGGCAUCCCCACUGUACCAGCUGUCCCCCAAUGAGAAAUCUGUAGUCAUCCCUGCCUCUCUAUGGUUGCCUCUACUUGCACCUGAGAGAUUUGCAACUACAAUUCAUUGCAUGACCAAAUCAAAAAAUAUUUCAAUGAUUUUCUUGAGGCUGCCAAGACUUAUUUUUGAUCCAAAAGCCUGAACAAGGGCCAAAGUGCCAAAGUUAAGGGCAAGAGAAGCAGUCUCAUGUUAGGAACUAUCCUUUUAUCCCUCUCUCAAGAUUACAUAGAUUGCAGUGAGAGCUUGUGAGCUUUCUUUUACUGCAGACAUCAAACAGGGGAUAGAGGACUGAUGUUGCAAGAUUAGGCUGGGAGACUUCUAAUGCCUCUACCAACUUGAGAUUUAAUUCAGUAGCUAAUCAGCCCCUUCUCUAUAAUAUGCCUACAUAAUUUCAUUUAGGCUUCGUAAUAGUUUAUUAGCUCCAUUUAUGGAUGAGGAGCCAGGAGCUCAGAGGGUCAAGUAAUUUUUCUAUGGUGAUGCCGCUGGGUAGUCAAACUUCCAUGGGGAGCCUGGUAUCCCCAAAAGCCCACUGUUUUUAGUAAGCCGCUACCUUCCUUUUGGCGCUAGACAUAAACUUCAAUUCAAAAUUGAAUGCAGUCAGCUGAAUAUCCUCAUCGGUAGCAUUAAACAUUUGAGGCUAAUAAAAAGAAAUAAUUCUUUGAUUCAGAGCUUAAAUUCUGAGCCUAAGUUCUCUUUCAAAAUGCACCGUAUUUAUUGGCAUGUCACCCUCCCCUUUAUUUCUACAAAUGCCAAAUGCAAUUUUCUUUAUGACCAUCACCUCCAGUUUCCAGAAGCUUGGAAAGACAUGAGAAAGAGUUAACUCUUCCCUUUACUUAGAACAGCUUUUAAUUAAAUGCAGGUCCUAGCUUCAGAUGUUCCUGGCUGGAAUAAGAGCCUGUUCCAUCGUAGGUUUUCCUUUACAAACUGGAAAGAAAAGACAGGUGCCAUUUACAGGGGGAACUUGAACUCUAAAAAUAAUAUAUAUGCAGAUAUUUACUUCAUUUUAAUUUUUGUCUCUAAUACUUUGUCCUGGAAGGAACCAGGGGUCUGGUUAAAACUGUAGAUAAGCUUCAACAUGGGAGGCAGUCAGUGCAGGACUGGAUAGGAGAAAGGAGUCCAAGGGGACAGUUGAAUCAAGAUCUGAAAUCCAAGCUGCAGAGACUCGACUUGCAGAUAAUCUGUGAUGGUUAUUUUUAUAGCACUCGUUGGCGGCCAUUCUCAGAGCUCUGAGAGCUUAUCCUCUUAUACACUCACAGGUAGACAAUUGCCUUCUCUCUUUCACCUGAUCCCAACCUCACUGUUCAGAGAGCUUGCUCAGCCUGUGUGCCUGAGGGGUGAGCAGUGUCUGAGUAAUUAAAAUGCAGCAGUACUGCCCACGCCUAAGACAGCUAGGAAUAACCAGCAGCACCAUCGUCUUUUUUCAUGUUGAAACUGUACAAGGUGCACAGUGGGAGAGGGGAGAGGAGAGGUAUGAAGAAAAGACGGGCAGCCCAGCAGCCAGCCCUGGGCUCAGAUCCGAUAUGUGUCUCUCUAGCCGUGGGACCAAGGCAAGGGGGCUGGCUUUGUGGAGUCCUGGUUUCUUGACACUUAGAAGGAAGCAGUUGCAGUUAAUAAUUCCUACAGUCUUUUUUAUCUCUAAAAGAAGAAAAUGUCCUAACAUACAGUUGGAGCGUCAUAAUCCACAUAUUGCCUGUCUCAGUCCUUUUGGGCUGCUAUUACAAAAAUACCAUAAACUGGGUGGCUUGUAAACAACAGAAAUUUAUUUCUGUUCUGGAAGCUGGGAAGCCCAAGAUGGAGGUGCCAGCAGAUUCUGUUUCUGGUGAGGGCUUUUUCUCUCUGGUUCCUCCGUGGUGCCUUCUUGCUGGGUCCUCACAUGGUGGAAGGGCAAGGCAGCCCUCUGGGACCUCUAUUACAAGAGCACCAAUCCCAAUAGGGAAGACUCCACCCUUUAUGACCCCAUCGCCUCCCCAAAGGUCCCACCUCCUAAUACCAUCACCUUGGAGGCUGGAUUUCAGCAUAAGGAUUUUGGGGUGAGGGGCAGGAUAUUUAGGCCAUAGUACUGCCUGUCACUUGAGAGUGAUCAUCCCUUUUUUGCCUCACUAAAGACCACUCACAUGCCCUCACAUGCCCAGUGGCUUGGACCUCACCUUCUGACCUGGAUGAAUAAACUCCUCUAAAUUAAGCUACUUGUUAAAAAAAAAAAAAAAAAACUGUUUCUGUUAGGAAUAAGUUCCAUGAAUAUUAAAAGACUUGUCAGGCAUACAAAAAUUGGUUUUUCCCUCCAUUAAAAGUGAUUUCUUCUUUAGACUUUUAGAGAUCAUCUGUGGUCAUCUCAUAUUUUAUAGAUAAGCAGAUCUAGGCCCAGAGAGCAGAAGCAGCUCUUCAAUGGUCACACAGUAAAAAGACUCUCUUGUAGGACUUUUUGCCAUUUCCCUACAUGCCAAGAAAAAGGUACCUGGCAUUCACUGUUUAAAAGAAAAUUAUAAUUUAAUUUCCAAGAGAGCUAUUUUUAAACAGGACGCUGUUUCACCUUGGAAUUUUUUUUUUUUUUUGGAAAAAAAAUAAACAAGUGUACUAGAUUUGUCCUUUUAAGCCAAUUUAAGAAGUGUGCCUUCCCUGUGCUGUUGAAAUUGGCAGGCCAACAUCUUGCAGACAGACUGUUCUGGUCUACUCGGUUAGUUGUUAUCCCAAAUGCAAAUCUGACUCACGGGUGAGAUCAUGAGAAAUCUGGACUAUUUUUCUUGAUGACUUUUUCUUUCCUGCUCCAAUUUUCUUUUGCGGUGUUUGGCUCUCUGUGUGAUAUCCAUGCUGGGCAACAGAACCUUGAAAGGAUUGGUCUGAAGAUGGUCUCUGCUGCUGCAUGAAUCACAAGACAGCGGGAGCAGGUUUGGCCAUGAGCUGUAUGUGACUUUGGUGCAUGUGCAUGGAGUGGUGUGUGUGUGUGUGUGAUGCAUGGCCUUCUGGCAAAGUAAAGAUUUCUGUUUAGUGGGAUUGGAGCCCUCUUUUUAACAACACAGACUAUUUUCAUUCUACAAAUGUUUGUUGAAUAGUCACCUUUUGCUAGGUGUUGAUGAUAGAACAGGGACUCCUCCCAUCUAGAGAAGGUCACCUACAAUUAAAUAAAUUUUACUUGGUCUAGGUGACCAUUGGAUCUCCAAGUUUUAGUGGAGUUUUAUGUUGAUUUAACGUAACAAAAAAAAUGAUUUCUCUGUCACAUAACAGCCUCAUGCAGGAGUUCUUGGUCAGCAGGUGGGUCUCUUCCACAUGGUGGCUCAGGGAUGCAGGCCUUGUGCUACCGCAAUUUCCUAGGGCUACAAGUACUCUGCCUGCAGCGAGGAAGGGAAGAGAGAGUGGGGAAAAGGCAUGUCUACUUCUGAGAUGCCUUGGCUUGAUGUGUGGUGCUGCCUCUCAUAUUUCAUGGGUGAGAAUUCACCAUAUUUUCCUGGUCACAAGCAAAGGGGGCUGGGAAGUAUAGCCCAGGAUGAGCCUACACUAGAUGGAAGGGAACAUCUGGAACUUGGGGAAUAUAUGGAAUUUUGGCUACUGGGUCUGCUAAUGUACUUCACUGGGAUCAUCUUUGGAUGCUACUUAGGCAUGUAAGAGAGGUACCUAACCUAGAUAUCACGUCUUCCUUCCUUCCCCUCUCUUCCUGAGCUUGAUUUCAGCUCUCCAACCUGCCCUGCUCCACCACUUCACACACACACACCAUGGCACAUUCUCUUGCCUCCCUUGGAACAUUUCUUCCACUCCACCCCUUCCUCUGGUUGACUAAAUAUUUCAUCAAGGACAAAAGUCAAAGGCAUUUUCUAGGUAGCUUUUCCUGAACCCAUAAAUCCAGGUUGCAGGUAUGUGUUCUGCCUCUCUAUGAAGGCAAAGCAAGAUUUUAUCUAUUGGGGUUUGAGAGCCCACAGGAAGGUACUUCUGCUAAUCAAAUGGGAAUUUCAUGUUCUAAAGUUUACAUGUUAGCAUUUAGAGAGCAUAGAGAGGCAAGGGGACCACAAGAACUGGGGGAGUAAAGAAGGGGUCUUUGCACCUUCCAGUAGCUAGAAGGAGAGCAAUCCAGCCCUUUGCGUGUGGAGAGGCUGCCCGGGGGCCCCAGGCCACUUCAAUUCAGGAGCCUACACUUCCAUCAGAGAAUAAUUUUCCACAUGCUUGUUAAGGAAUGAAAUAUCCAAAUGGGGGCAGAUGCUUUCCUUGGCUACAGUGUCCUCUUCAUCCAGGGAAGAGAAGGAGAUGGUUAUCCAGCCACCCUUGGACUUAAAGCUGAAGCUGGAGGGCAGAGUGUGGAAUCCUCCAGGGUCACAGCAAUCAUGGAAUGCACCUUCCUAUUCCAACAGGGUCUUAUAAAGGAGCAUCAGGUUUUAAUUUGAGGGUAUAAGAAAUGAGCAUGUUUCUCCUGCAGCUGAAUUUAUCUCCUUAUUCAAAAAAUAUUUUCUUACUAAUUAUUUUUAAUGAUCUCCAGGAAAAGUACCUUGUGUGAUUAUUUUGACAAGUUCAUACAUGCAAGGGGCCUGCUGACCUGCAUUUACGAGGUGAUGACUGUUUCUUCUGUUUAGGUUACCAUUAGAGUCACCUAAAAAUAGACCAGUGAACUGGGUACUCAGAAAAAACUCAGUAGGAUGGAUUAGGAAGAAGACCAUGUGAAGCCCAUUGGCUCUCUGCAGCAUGUUGGCCAUUUCUUCUUCCCCACUGAAGCAGGGGCUGGGCUAAUGAGAAAAUCAUUUUGCCAUGAAAAUAAACAGAGAUGCAAACUGAAGACAAAGUAUCCAAGAUAAGGGAUUCAUUUUUAAGGUCAGUGGAUCCCUUCUCAAUUAGUAGCCUUUUAGGAGCCUUCAGUCUCUCAGGCACCCAAGUAUUUCUUGUGAUCUCUCAGCCCAAGCCCAGACAUCCAUCCUUUCAGUCACCUAAUAGUGAUAGAGACCUACUGCGUUCCUUCUAGCACUAGGGAUUCCGGGAUUAGCAGGACACUCAGAACCCCCUUCCCACAUGGUGUUCCCAUUCCAGGAGAAAGGCACAAGAACAAGUCAAUUUCAGUACCUGCCUUGUAACUUCAGGAGAGCCAAGUGCUUCUUGAAGAAAAAUAGAGCCAUUUAAGGGUCAGGGAAUGUUUUAGUCAGUUUUUUUUUUUUUUCUUCUCUGCUAUGUCUAAAGGAGCUGACCAGAACAACUAUAGAGGAGAAAAAGUUUGUGAGGGCUCACAAUUUCAGAGGUCUGAGUCCACAGAAGGCCAGUUCCAUUCCUCAGGGCUCAAGGUGAGGCUGAACACCAUGGCAGGAGAGGGUGGCAGAGGGAAGCAGCUCACAUCACGGUGAUCAGGAAGCAGAGAGAAAAAUCCAAUGGACAGAUACAAAUAUAUACCCAAAGCCACAUCCCAAUUCCCACCUCCUCCAGCCACACCCUAACAUUCAGUUCCCACUCAGUUGAUCCCUAUCAGAGGAUUAAAUCACUGAUUGGGUUAAGACUCUUACAACCCAAUCAUUUCUCCUUGUUCUUGCAUUGUCUCACACGUGAGCUUUUGGGGGAUACCUCACAUCGAAACCAUAGCAGAGAGUGAUGCCCCAGUCUUCACUCGUGUGAGUCCAGAGGCUGCUCUGGGACAGUGACAUUUGAGCAGAGUCCUGGACCAUGGGAUGGAGGUGGCCCCUAAUUUCAGGGAGGGGGAGCUGCUGAAAGAGGUCCAGCAAGUGCAAGGACCCGGAUGGGGGUGACAAGCAGGGCCAAUGGGAGAGAGAAGGAUGUGCCUUUACAGGAUCGGUAGUCCUCCCCAUCACCACCGCUGUCCUCCCCGCCACUGCAGGAGUCCUCCCUGUCAUGGCUCCUCUCUGAAGGCCAGUGAUGGCAUCUGUGACCCCAGAUCCAGAAGACAGGAGACAGUGGGGCUGGGGCUACUUGAGAACUGAUGCUGACCUCUGCUCCAGGAGGUGGAAGGAGGCGUGUGGAGAGAGCGGAGUUCCUUGACAGAUUAAUUCUUUUCUUUAGUCUACACAUGUGGCUCUGGAGGUCUGAUGUCUGGACUUUACACUUUGGUAUAAAGGGACGAAUUGAUGGUGAUAGUCACUACCCUGUUCAGAGAAGUCCACUUGGAAGUUGGUAGAGCAUCAAACUGCUUCUUUCUGUUCCUCCAAUCAUGGCGCCGUGUACCCGCAGGCAAGCCCUUGGCCCCUGAGGGUGUUCUGACUUUCAGCAGAGAACUCUGGUCUCAUGUCCCACUCACCCUUGACCAUUGCCUGUAAAAUCCUCUGAUCUUUCCAGUUAACAGCCGCUCCAUUGCUAAUAAGUCCUAUGCAAUCUUCUGCCUUCAUUGAGUUUUAUGACAUAUUUGCAUGUCAGGAUCAUUUUGGGUUUUGGAGUUUGUGUCUCCUGCUGUUCCUAAUGUCAUAAGUGGUUAGUGAUAACCCAGGAGGGGGUUAUGUUCUGGGCUUAUGAGUAGAUGAGCUUUAAAAAACAUCAAUCUUAUUUGCAGGCAAAUAUGGCUAAUGAUAGACUGGGGAAAACAAAAUAAUUCUAAUUCUGCAGUGAAUGCUUGGUUGUUUCCAGAGUGCCUGCUUUUUAAUGGAGUGCAGUAGAGAAUGAAGGACGAGAGGGAAAGGAUAGAAAUAGCUAGAGAAAAAGGUAGAAAGUGGUAGGUGUUUCUUCUUAUUUAUUUAUCUAUUUAUUUUUGCUGUUGUUGCUGUUCUAAUAAAAAUGAAAACGGAGCAACCAAAGCGAAGGACCAGCAUUGGCUCACCCCUGUGUGGGACUAGGGCUGGACCCAGGGCUCCUAUCUGCCUGUGGCUUACCUCUAGUGUAGGGGUUCUUCACUGGGGUGAUUUUGUCACUGAGUGUGCUGGAGACACCUCGUGAGUGAACAUGCUGCUUAAUAUCCAGCCAUGCACAAACAGCCUGCCUUGACAACAAGUGACCAGCCUCUAAAGUCAGUCGUGGGGCGGCUGAGCCGCAGCUCACUGGCUUCUCCUGUUCUGCCUCACCUCCUGUGUGGACUGGCUCUCCUUGCCCAGGGGAUCUCUUAUCUCUAAGUGAAGGCCUAGAGGGGCCUAGAAAUGAUCUAACCCUGAUCCAGCUUUUACAGGUGGGACUUCAGACAGAUUGUGACAUUCCUAAGUUCACACAGCUUUUUAGUAAUAGAGGUGGGAUCAAUUAACAGGAAAAAAAAUUGGAAAGAACUUUUGCAAAAUAAGAGGGUUUUGUCAGGUUUUUUUUUUUUUUUGUGUGUGUGUGUGUGUGUUCUACUUUUGGAUUAUCACUUUGUUCAUUCAGUAAUAAUUGGUUGGGCGUCUAUUAUAUAAUUGGCACUCUGCUCUCAUUCAUCACCUGAAAAAACAUGAAGACUGCUUAAAAUGGGUAAUGAAAUAAUAAUGAUGCUAAUAAUAACAUUGAAAACAUUUAUUGAAAGUUUAUUCUGGCCGGAUGCAGUGGUGCUGUAAUCCCAGCGCUCAGAAGGCUGAGGCAGGAGGAUUGCGAGUUCAAAGCCAGCUUCAGCAGAGGCGGGGUGCUGAGCAACUCAGUAAGACCCUGUCUCUAAAUAAAAUACAAAAUAGGGCUGGGGAUGUGGCUCAGUGGCUGAGUGCACCUGAGUUUAAUUUAUAGUACCCCCCUCCCCCCAAAAAAAAGGAAGUUUGUUCUGGGUCAGCACUAUAAUAAAUCCUUUUUAACUCCUUUCUCUCAUGGAAUCUUCUUCACAACCCUGAAAGCAGGGUACAGUUUUAUUCCCAUUUUAUAGGUGACAAUACUGAAGCUGGAGGAGAUAAGGAAGUAGCAGGGCUAGGAAUUCCAGCUUUGUUCUUCUGGAUUCCAGAGCCUUCCUCUUUUCCUGCAUGAUUAUUAGAUAUUUAAGGGUUGCUGUAGGUGGGGACUAUUUUUUUUUAAGGAGUUUUGGUUUAUUUUUGUAGUGCUUAAGAUGGAACCUAGGGCCUCACACAUGCUAAGCAAGUGUUCUACCACCCAGUGACAUCCCCAGUCCCUUUAGAGUAUUUUGACCAAAACUCAAAGAGAAGAAAUGCAGUUAUUCUGCUGGUUUCCAUCACACCAGCCAUCAAAGGGUUUUUGCUAGUUUUUUGAUUGCUGUUGUUUUAGGAUUUUCAAAGCAUACUAGGACUUUUUUUUUUUAGUUGUAGUUGGACACAAUACCUUUAUUUUAUUUAUUUUUAUGUGGUGCUGAGGAUCGAACCCAGGACCUCGCACGUGUGAGGCGAGCUCUUUACCAUUGAGCCACAACCCCAGUUCCUAUAUUAGGACUUUUAAUACUUUUUAAAAUACUGUGUGUGUGUGUGUGUGUGUGUGUGUUGCUACUAUGUCAGGGAGGGGGCUAAAUACUGGGGAUUCAGCAAUGAACAAAAUACUUGUCUUAGUUUGAGUCCCUGCAAAGCAGACCCUGGCCAGGGAUUUGGUGCAGACACUGUGGUGCGGAAUGGGGAGGUGGGGGAAGAAGGGAUGAAGCUGAUAAGGCACUGCUGAUGAGAUGACUGCAAGUCAGCCAGGGUGCCCUCCCUCUGUGGAUCUAGGAGUCUGUGGGGCCCACACCUCAGAAUGGCCUCACUAAGAUUUGUGGUCUCUGGUUAUCCAGCCACAGGCUCCCCCCUGUUCCUUCAUUGCAUGCACAUUGCUUCUGAGGACAUUCAUUCCCUGGCACCUCCCCAGCCAGAGACCAUCCCCAGGCAGAGACAGAAGAACCUCAGGUCAAGUUUGAGAAGUGUCCUUAGGAGAUCUCCAGGGAGGGUGACUAGGACCACCACAUCUGUCACUGUCCAGCUCCCGCCCUUGAGGAACUCUCAGUCCUGUGGGGCAGGAAGACCACCAGAAUUCACAGUACCGUAGGACCAGGGGAAGGUGAGCCCCAGGAAUGAAGAAGAACAACACAAGGAGAUGCCUUCAUCGGGGGACAUUAAGAAGGCUUUACGUCUUCCUUGUUCUCAUCACUAGGACACAACAUCGAACACUGUGGAGUGUUGCCCUUGUUGCCUGAGUGCAUUUAGUUCUUUCCCGUGCAUUGUCAUGCCAGGAUACCCUUGUGAUCAGCAUCAGGACUAGGAACCUGGCAUGCUGUGCUCACAGCAUGGCACCUCUCUGCCAUUGUCCUUGAAGUCGUGUAGUGAAGAGCGUGGUGCCAGCCCCGUGGCCCUGCCUGUCCUCUAGAGCCAACGCUUCUUCAGAUCCAGAUCUUCAUUGUUAUCAGUGUGAAACUUGGGCAAGUGGCCGACCUGGGGGAGCCUGAGCUUUGUGAUGGCUGUCAGAGGACAGGCCCUCAUGGCCUAUGCUAAUGUUUCUCUGUGCAAAAUCUAGAAGCACAGAAAUAUGCAUGCAUGCAGAUCACACGGAGAGCUUGUUAAAAUACAUUCCUGAGGCCACCUCCAGGGGUUGUGGUUCAAUAGCUGCUGGGCUUCAGGAUAACUCCUUCUCUCCUGGCUGUGUCCACCUGCAUCAGGGUUUCUCAGCCUGGGCAUUUUUUUUAUCCGGGGCUGAAUAAUCAUUUGUUAUGGGCUGCCUGUGCCUUUAGUCACAUCCCUGGGCUCAACCCAGUAGAUACCAGCAGUACCUUCUAUAAUGACAACCCAGGAUGUCAGCUGCCACCUGCCCCCUAGGAGGCAAAACUUGACCCCUGACCUAGAUGUUCUAGAAGACUGCUUUCCAGACCUCUGAGUACAUGUGAAUCAGCAGGGGAUUUGUUGAAAUGCCCAUUCAGCAGGUCUGGGGAGGGGCCUGAGUCUAUUUCUGUUGCCUUCCAGGUAAUGCUGAUGCUGCCAGUGGGUGGAUACUUUGAGCAGGCACAGUCCACCCUCCAGUGAGUGGAGAAAUUUGGUUGAACUCAAGUCACGAAGUUGUCCCUGCAAGUGCUGGUAACUGGGUCAGUCCCUCUGGUUACCUCUGAUUCCCAAGGUUGAUUAAGUCUGUGGCUGCUGCUUCCCUCCCUUCCCCUCCCCUACCAGGCCCUCCUCCAGCUGUGUUCCUACCCUGCUUGCCCAGGGAGGAGUGAUCUUUCCUCUGGGAGAGACAGCAAACCUGUUUUCCCUUGGUAGGUACAGGGAUCUCACCGGGACAUUCUCGGUCCCCAGAGAGCCCACUUAAACUUCUGAGUCUUGCAUUUUUUUUUUUUAAAAUGAGUUUUAAAGGUGGAAAAUAAAAGGAAGGAGCCUCGAAGGUCAGAAGCACAGGUGUGCCAACCUGAAACUCUGGAGGUCUUAGGGAGUCUCUGGUGACCUGAGGAGGGGGUGAUUCUCACAGCCAAAGCAGAAGCUGCAAUUAUGGAGCAGAACCAGGAAGGCCUGAGGCAGAUGGGGCUGGAGGUGGGGCUCCCUUUACACAUCACUAAACCCCAGGAGUUAUUCUAGUAAUGAAACUCUUCUUUGCAGACUUCUAGAAAUGCUGUCACUUUGCCCAUUGUUAUUUUUAGCCCUUGUCUGUUUCCUAUUGUUAGGAACAGUAAAAAUUCUUAGGAGACCUUUUCUGCCAGUGCUUUGGUGAGAAGGUUUGAGAUAGUGAGGUGAAAGAAAAGUGGCUACUCUCUGGCAAAGUCCCCCAAAGAAGGUAUCCUGGUAAGGGGAGAGGAGAAGGAGCAGCAGGUCUCUACAGGCGAGUGCUGGUGUUCACUAUGGGACAUCUCAAGUGGAAUAAAGUCUCUGAGGUGUGGCCACUGUUUCAGUAGGGUCCUUAGGACAGGCCUGUGCUCUCUACAGUACAGGGUGUGUUGGGGGUGGAGGGAAAACAUUCCAGUUUCUAAAAUGCAAACUGCUACUUUGAGGACUCCCACUGGCUGGACCUGGGACACUGUGUUUGACAAGCCCUACGCUUAACAACAGAAUAUGACCCCUUGGUUUUCCAGUAGGAAGGAUGUGCACAUACGGUGAGUUCUAUGAAGAUUUAUGUGGGAUAGAGAGCAGGGAGGUCAGGCAGUGUUAGGGACUGAAUUUUGUGUCCUCCAAAAUUCAUAUUGAACCCUAAUCUCCAAUAUGAGGGUAUUUGGAGAAAGGGCCAUUGGGAGGUGAUUAGGACAUGGAGGUCGAGCCCCCACGAUGACAUGAGUGCCCAUGGAGAGGAGCACACCAGAGAGAUUGUUUCCUCUCUGUCUCUCUCUCCACCAUGUGAGGACAUAGCCAGGAAGAGGUCCUUCACCAGGGACUGAAUCUGCCGGCAGAUUGAUCUUGGACUUGCAGCCUCCAGAAGUGUGAGCACCAAACCUAGUUUAUGGCAGUACUUUUACAAAGCAGCUUGAAUGGACUAAGACAGUCUAGAAAACGACCUAGACCCUCAGGCUUCCAAGUGCUGUCUGUGAACAGAUACUUACUCAGGGUGAAAAUUUUAUUCUAGCAAAAAAUGAGGGGAGUAAGGUCAAUACAGUGAGUUUUUCUUAAAGCUAAACGUAUUCAUUUUAAAGAAUAAGCUUUGUGCUACACAUAUAGCCUUCCUGCUUUGGAAGAGGUUAAACUGUCUUGUCAUUAAUGAAAGUAUGGUGUUUCUCAGUUAUAUUUAUUUAUUUGGUAUCUUUUACUGGCAAAAAAAAAAGUUUGAAAUAGUUUUGUUCCAGCAAUAAUUUAUAAAACUUUUAUUGGUCUUUGAAAUCCAGAUGUCUAGAAACCACUGAAUUGGGCAAUUAGAAAAGUGGAGGCCAGAAAUGGUAAUGUCUGCACUUGGCUGGUAGCUGUAGGAGGGGAAGGGAUUGAAGGAGGACAGGACAGAGCUUUGUGGCUGGCUUUUUGGAUGCCUCUGCAUCUGGGCAACUCAGUGACAAUGGGAACUUUUACAGAAUGCAGAAGUUGGAGAGGGAGAGAGUCUGGGGAUAGAUGGAACAUUUGGAAGUCAUAAUCAUAAAAACAUUAAUGUCUGCUGUUUGUUGAGGGUACAUUUCUGUGAGCUCCAUUCCCAUGAUUUCAUUUAACCCAUGUGACAGCCAUGUGACAUUGGUACUGUUGCUACUUCAAGAUUACAAAUGCGAGUAGAGAGAGGGGAGAACUGCCCUUUGGCACACAGCAAGCCAGUGUGGAGGAUUCAAAUGUGGGACAUUAGCAGCCUAAAGCCCAAGAAGGCACCAAGGCCCUGUUCUGUUGCUCCACCAUCUGUGUGGGACCUGGGUGCUAUGGCCUGAGAGAAGAUGAUGGAAAGGGAAGGGGCAGAACAGGGAUAAAGAGGAAUUUGGUCAGGGGACCCAGAAACCCUCAGAUCCCAUCUCCUACCAGCCAGUCCCCCUGAAAGAAAAGACUGUAUGCAGAGGGCUCUGGCUGGCCACCAGGCACCAUUUUUUCUGGUAGCGUUAGCCCUAUAUUACAUUGUACAGUUGUGUCUGGGCUGGAGGUGGACUGAAGCCCGGAAGCUGGUGUCCUCCUUCCUGGCCCCACCCCCACUUCCCAAGUUUACCCCUGAGGUUUGCCUCUCAUACUCUGAUGGGGAGGAAAGGCUGUGCAGGGCAUGCCCACCACCAGGAAGAAGCACUGUGGUGUGUGCUAACCUCUGCCUCUGCCUGCAUGGGUUCUAAUCAAAGGAAUCAUAAUAACAGGAUCAAUGAUUGGGAGCCGGGCAUUGUUCCAAGGACUUUAUGUGGAAUAGAAAAUAUACUCCAAAAAGGGAAUGAGCCAAAAGAACAGUUGUUCCAAUGUAGGUGUCCCUUCCACUAAGGCCUUGCCCUCUCGAAACGUGGUCCAUUUGGUGGCUUGAAUUCUAUCCACUUUCUUAUGCCUGGAAGAACUUUGAAUUCCUUAUCCACAAAAACUUAGGUGAGAAGAUAUUCCAUGUGUACUCAGCUCAUCAAAGGAAGGGAAAAUGGCCUGUUAUGUGCCAAGUUCACCCUUUGAACAAAUGUCAGACUGGCUGUGACUUAGCCUUAAGGAUUUUUUAUUUCAUUUAUGAAUUUAUUCACUUAGCAGGAGCUAAUCAAUCACUCACUGUAAAUUUGUAGCACAGAGGAUGAAACAAAGUCAUUCGUAACUCAACCUCCUCGAAAAGUCAGAACCUGGGAUCAAUAGAGUGUUCUUGUGUGCACACCAAAGGCCUCAAAGGUCCAGAAGGAGCAAUCUGCACAAGAAGGACCGAGGGAGGGAGGUAGCGUGGACUUGAAACAGACGUGAAGGCCAAAUAGAUGAGUGUACAGCUGAGGUCGGGGGCAGCGUGGGACCUGAAAUGAAGGUGAGUGGGAGUAAAGAGAAAGGAACUUACAGAGAAAUUCAAGUGACUCUUUGAAGGCAUGUGACUUCCCCAGGGGAGGUUAAAAAACAAGCAAAUAAAAAGGGCUUGACUUUGAUAACUCUUUUCAAAAAGCCCAGAGGCGCAGCUUGGAUCUUCUUCCUGCCAUAGUUCUGGCCUUCCUAUAUCCUCAGUGAGGGCCCAACCUGUUUGUAUGAAGAACAAAAUGAGCUGUGCUCUACUUGGGGAGCAGAGUGGAAAGUGGUUUGGCGCAUCCUCCAGUUGGGUUGCUGAUGAGAGCCUAAUGCUUUCAAAGCUUCAGUGCUAGGAACGGCUGGGUUACUGUCAAGCCCACGACAGCCCGGGCAGUUGGGAGUGAUGACCAUGUCCUGCCCUCUCUGGUUUUGUGUCAGGCUUUGGGGAACAAUUUCGAGAAAACCAUGCAGGAGGUAUAUCCAUGAAUGGAAUACUACUCAGUAAUACAAAGAAAUGCAAUGGGAUGAGUGAAUCUCAGAGAACUUACGCUGAGUGAAAAGGAGCCAAAUGAAAUGAAGACAUACUGUAUGCAUCCAUUCAUAAGAAACUCUGGAAAGUGCAGGCUCACAUUUUGGUGGAGGGUGGGUACUGGGAAUGGAUCCUAGGGGAACCUUACCACUGAGCCAUGUCCCCAGCCUUUUUUAAUUUUUUACUUUUGACCAAAUAUCACUAAGUUUCUUAGGCCCUGGCUAAAUUGCUGAGUUUGACCUUGAAUUUGAAAUCCUCCUGCUUCAGCCUCCUGAGCUGCUGGGAUUAUGGCAUGUGCCACCACACCCAGCUCAGGCUCAUCUUUUUUUUAUUUCCAAAUAAAUUAUAUCUUUAAUGUGCUCAAAGAAAUAAUCGACAAAGCAGAAUCCUGUACCCACCAAAAAUGUCUCUCUCUCUCUCUCUCUUUUUCCAAAUUUUUUAUUUUAACUUGAUCUGUGACAGCAGGCUCAUCUUGAAGAGCAGAAAGCUGACCAGUAUUUUCUGGGGGGCUGGGGAGGCUGGGUGGGCAAUGGCACAGAGGGGAGGGAGCGAGGGAUUAUAAAGGGAUGCAAGAGAACUUUGGGGGUUAGUGGGUUUGCUCAUUAUCUAAAUUGCAGUGAUGGUUUCAUGGAUAUAUACUUAUGUUAAAAGUAACAAAAUGUGUGCUAUAAAUAAGUUAAAUGAUACCUCAGUAAAGCUUUUUGUUACAAAUGUGUUGGCCAGACGAGCAUUCCCCAGGGCCUGUGUGUGUUGCUGGUAGGGUUCCAACAGGUGGAUGUUCCCAGAGGAAGUUCCUGGGAGGACGGUCAUGGUCUGACCUCACAGAGAGGGGCAGGCGGUGAGACUGAGCAGAGGGAGAAACGGGGCUGCAAAGUGUCAGCCAACCCUCUGGGACCCCUUAAGAGUUGUCCCGAGAUGUGCCCUGGGAACCUGUCCUUCACACUGCCACCUGGGUAGAAGCUCGGGGGCAGUUCCCCCGAGUGCUGGCAGUGAAGGGCUGGGUGACAUGAUGCUUCUGAGCUGGAGUUCAUCCCAGCACCCUCUAGAGGGGUUCAUCCCAGCAACUGGGCAUCCUAAAGUAUAUUUCUUAUUUUUGCUUUUUGCUGCAAAGGGACAAUUAGCCAGGUCCUGUCCUCAGUAUGUAAUCCCCAGUCCUAUUUUGAGGCCCUUGGCGAUAAAAUGUUUUGCCCUGCCAGACUUUUGGGGAAGGGUGAUGUGGGCAAGAUGGUUGUCUCCGGCUUCAGAGCCUCCCUCUGUUGAACUAAUUAAGGGCUCUCUUGUUUUGUGUGGGAGACAGAGAGUAUUUCCCGUAUCUGCUGUUUCACUUUCUGUGGUUUCCGUUACCCGUGGUCAACCUGGUUCUGAAAAUAUUAGUAUUUGACAUGAGUCUUUUUUUUUUUUUCCUUUGGUGCCAGAAAUUGAACCCAGGGGCACUUUACCACUGAGCCACAUCCCCAGCCCUUUUUUGUUUUUUAUUUAGAGACAGGGUCUCGAUAAGUUGCUUAGGGUCUCGAUAAGUUGCUUAGGGCCUCACUAAGUUGUAGAGGCUGACUUUGAAUCUGUGAUCCUCCUGCUCAGUCUCUAGAGCUACUAGGAUUACAGGUGUGCACCACUGUACCUGACCUUGACUUGAGUCUUUUAAGAGAGAGAAACCACAUUCAUGCAACUUUGAUUGUAAUACAUUGCUAUCGUUCUAUUUUAGUAUUAGUUAUUGUUAAUUUUUUGCUAUCCCCAAUUUAGAGAUUAGACUAUGUUACAGAUAUGUAUAUAGAGGAAAAAUUACAUUCAAUAUAUAGGCAUUGUUACUAUCUGCAGUUUCAGGAAUCCCCUGGGGGUCUUGGAACUAAUGCCCUACAGAUAGGGGGGAUGACUGUGUUUCUCAGAGUGCCAUCCUCCUAUUUAGAUGACUUGCUCUUGACUGAAAGAUGCACAGUGAAUUGGCAGAUUUCACAUUUUCUGAUGGAAAGCAAAAUAUUUUUUCACUUUUGCAAAGUAGCUUAUGCUUUAAGUUUAAGUUCCAAUAGCUCAUGCUGUCAAAAGUUUUCCUCUAAAAUAUUGAGGAUUUUCAAAAGUGUGUUAAGGCAGCUGUGUCUUUCACCUGAGAGAUAUUGUCUCUGAGAAGGACACCAAAGUUGCUCCCAGGUAUCUUGUGGGAUACCUUGUUGUCACCUGAAAAGAUACUCGUCAUUGUAGUGUAUUGUACAAUAUCCACCUGGACCUAGGGAUGCUCUGCCACUGAGCUACCACCCCAGCCCUUUUUAAUUUUUAUUUGGAGAAAGGGUCUCACUUAGAUCCUAAGGCUGACCUCUAACUUACAAUCCUCCUGCCUUGGCCUCCUGAGUUGCUGGCAUGUACCACCACACCCAGAUCCAACCAUGUUUUUAAUGUAACAAACACUUAGGCCAUGCUUACAGUAUGCCAGGUACUGUUCCCCAUGCUUUAUAAAUAUUAGCUAAUUUAACUUACUCCCUCUAGCAGCUGAUGAAAUAAGUACCUUUUCACAAAUGAAAAAACAGAUAUGUCUAACCUCUAGCAAAUGGGCUGUAGACUUAGAGUCAUAUACUUAUGUCUACUUACCCAUUUUUAAUCUAUUUCCUCCCCUGAAUGAGUAUCAGAGUUUUGAAAAUUCCCCUUCUGAUUAAUUCUCUUAGAUCCUAUAAAUACAGUGACUAUAUAAACCAAGGAUCAUUAAACUCAUCUUCAAGCUUUCAAAGCAGAGUUUAUAGAAUUUUGUCAAAUUUUGCCUUACCACAAUCCCCCAAAUAUUCAGCUCCAGAAGUUUAAAUAUAUCUUUUACACUUUCUUGCUUAGAUGUUAGACAUAGAAUUAUUUUAUGUUUAUUUUGGGGUUCAUGAAAUGAUUGAGAAACGUGUGAAGUCCUCAUUCAUUCAUUCAUUCAUUCAUUCACAAGUAGAUGUGACUGAAGAACUAGCUAGUGAGUGGACCUGGAGAGGACAAGGUCCUCUGCUGACUGACUGCUUAUAUGAGCCUGUUUUCUGUUACUGUAAUGAAGUACCUGAGGCUGGAUACCUUUAUAAGUAAAAUGGUUUAUUUAGCCAAAAGUCUGGCAUUGACUGAGCUUUAGUGAGGGUCUCAUAGCACUUGGUAUCACGAUGAUAGGAGUACUUAUUAGAGAAAGUGAUCACAUGGUGAGACACAAAGCCACAACAUGACCUAGGGACAAGGCUUACACUUUUAUAAAAAUUUGCUCUCACAAAAACUAACUCAGAGUCCCAUGAAAACUUUAAUUCCUUCCAAUGACAGCACUCUCAGUGACCUCAGGACCUCCCACUAGGCCCCACCCCUUAAAGGUUACAGGGCCUCUUAACAUUACCACACUGAGACCCAAGCUUCCAACACACAAACCUUUGAACAUUGCCCACCGCCAGGAUCUGCUAGGAUCCUAGGGGACACAUCUGAUGGUGACUCUAGUUUCCCUUUACAGCACAGGCUCUUGCCAAUGGAAUAGAGUAGGUUUUGAGAAGAAGGCAAACCUUUGCUUUGUAGACAUCACACAAAAAGACUUCCUCAGAUCCGAGAAGAAGGAAGACUAGAUCUGGAUAUGAAUAAAAUCAGGUAUAUGGAUGUGAACAAAGCAGUUGCUAAUGGGAGGUAAGAAUGGGCUGGCUGUGGGAUUUGGCCUCUUGAGAGUUGGGGAGGAACUUUGCACUUGACAAGCCAAAUGAAAAAGUCUCCUCAUUCAUGCCACCUCAGGAAGGUAAUCCUUCCUGUGCUGCUGGGAGGAGCUGGAAUCACCCUGCACGUGGCUCCGCCUCUGCAGCCAGAGGCUGGUGGGGAACACACGCAGGCCUGUGGCUCCACAGCCUGGCCGGCCAGGUUUCUCAUCUGGACACAUGAGCUCAAUUACUCUGCUGCUCUCUGGAAAGCAGGCUGCCUCGACCUUGAAUCCCUGACCCAGCGCCAGGGCCUGCCGGGUUUGUAAAUGCCGCCUCUUGUGGGUGCAGAGAGCCUUUGCCCAGCUGGGCAGCUUGCUUCCUGCCAUUCAGAGAGAUGCCCCUUAGCGACUGGUCUAGCUUGAGCUGCUCUGACCGGCUUCACAGACAAUGAUUGACUAUUGACACCCGUCCUGGGCAUUGGCCAAAUCUGAAUUCCUUCUCAGGACUCCCUCAUGCUUCUUGUCCUCAAGGUCAACACCUGUAAAAUGAUUAUCACCAUAUCUGCAAAUACUUUGGCUUUUUCCAUGAAUGGAGACCAUUGCCAGAUUACCACUAAAUGUUUCCAAGCUGCCACUUGGGUGGAAAAUUACUUCUGUUUCCUUCCUCAGCAUGUGAUAAACAUUAAAGGCUUAAAAAUGUUGGAUUAUCAAUACCUAACAUCUGUUUUAUUUGUAAUGAACUUUUGAUUCUGGAAUUAUUUUAGAUUUACAGAAAAUUUAUGAAUUAGGGUUCUCCCUCUUUCUCCCAUUUUUUGUAGAGGGGGUACUGAAGAUCAACCUUAGGGCCUUACACAUGGUAGACAGUCACCCUACCACCAGGCCACAUCCCCCGUCCCUGCUGUUAUAUAACCUGGUACAUUUGUCAGAAUGAAGAAACCCUAAUGGCACAUUUCCACUAACUCAACUCCACAUUUUAUUCAGAUUUCGCGAAUGUCCUUGUGUGUUCCAGGAGUCAAUUCAGGAUACACCAGUGCAUUUAGUAACAUCACUGCUUGGUAUCAGAGUGUCUUACUUAGCUCAGGACAUUAUAAAAGCAAGAAAGAGCCAGGUAAGGUGGUUCAAACGUGUAAUCCCAGGCACUUGGGAGGCUGAGGCAGGAGAAUCUCAAGUUCAAGGCUAGCUUCAGCAAAUAGACUUACUCACAAAAUAAAAAGAAGGGUUGAGAAUGUAGCUCAGUGAUUAAGAAUGCCUGGGCUCAAUCCCCAGAUUGAAAAAAAAAGGGAGGAAGAGGAGGAGGAGGAGGAGGAGAAAGAGAAAGAAAGAAAGCAAAGAAAAGAAAGAAAGAAAGAAAGAACAAUAUUGAUUUUGGGGAAGUUGUCUUACAGGGAAUACAUUUUCUUUUCUAAUAACAACCAAAACUUGGCUGACAUCCAUCAUCUUGGGCUGUGAACAGCAGUUGUUAUUCAUUUAUUAUUGAUGUCAUAGAUUUUUCCAUAGAGCUAAUUAUUCAACUUGAAUUUGAAUCCUUCUAUUUAUUAGCUUUUGUUCUUCAUAGAGUGUACACAUGGAUAUACAUACACAUGUUUCUCACACAUAUGCACAUUAUGUGUGUGUAACACACAAACAUACGUGUCUGUAUGUGCCUCUGUUUCUCUGCCUGUCCACAAACACCUUUCCUGCCAUAUUCAAUUCCAAAGGCUAUGCAGAGAGUUUUCACAACUAUCAUCUUUUCAGAAAUUAGUUUUUAUAACAAAAGGUUUACCUUUUUAAAAAGUUAGAUUCGAUGUUGUUUUAAGACAUUUACAAGUUGAUCUUGGCAACCGUUAUUGCUCCCAGGGUGUGUGAUGCUUUUGGUAAAUGUAGAAACUUCAUUUAAAAACCCCAUCUCACAAGAGCUAGUUUCCCCCAAAGAAGGGAAUAAUAUAUUUUAAAGAAGGAAUGCUGGAGAGGUGUUUAUUCCAACUAAAUAUAUUAUAGUAGCACAGUUUAGACUCCUUUGCCAGUGACAGAAAAUGCAUAGUAUAGGACCAAAAGAAGGGUAUAAUUUUUUUUUGGAACACCACAUUCUUUCUUCUCCCUAAGACCCACAGAGAUAAUUAUAUGAUUGGAAAAUUAGACCCAAGAGGGAAAUUUAAAGGAACUGGGACCGGCUACAUGAGGUGAGUGAGGGCAGAGAGGAUGGUCUGCAUUUCCUAUAGCACCAGGGGGAGGGAGGGAAAGCCACCCAGCUUGGCCAGGGGCCUGGGACAGACUUGGCCAUGAAGGGGUUAGUAUUUGCUUGGGAAGCUCUCACAUCUGUGGCCACAUUUCAGGUGGGUGUGUGAGGCCAAUGCCAAUCCCUCUGUUUGUUCCAAGGUCCCAGGUCCAUAGUUGGGGCCUAACUGCAUCUCGGGGGAUGCAGCUGGUGAAACUGCCUUGGUGGUACACGCUUUCUUCCAAUUCAAAAAAGACUUCAUUACGACCAGUGAGGCUAGUACCAACUGGUACUAUUAACGUUGUAAUUUAAAAGGGCACAUACUUAUAAAGCCUAAAGAAAUGUGAAAAUCAAGGCUAAUUGGGUACCUUCCUUCCCCAUUUAAAAUUCUUAAUAACCAUGUAAUUAAAUCUUGUUUUUCCUUCUCCAAGGUUAAAUAGAACUAGCAUGUUCUCCGUCUUUGGGGUGUAUAUGUGCCUGUGUGUGCACAGGUGUGUUUGUAUGUACAUGUGGGCAUGGUUCAGACAUUUUGGGAUUUCAGGAUGACUAAACCUUAAAAACCCCCUCAGGUGAAUUUUUGCAUGGGCUGAGACAGUCCAUUUCCACCACAAGCUGCCCCACUCCUUUUGCACCCUCCGCCAUUCCUUGCCCCUUACUUUCAAGCCGAGGUAGGAAGACUCCCAAUAGGGCAGGAGUGUGUGAGUCAGCGGUGUGAACCCAGGACACUCUCCCCACCCCGCCCCCAUCGGGUGGGAGUCAUUUAUCUUUCUCUGGACCCAACCAAGGCUCUGACUUUAUCUCUUUGAGGCCAUCUCCUGUCUGACCCCUGCCAUCUGGUGUUUGCUAAUAAUUUGCUUUCGACCCUUAAGUUUUGCUCAUUAAAUCCCCUCCUUGGCAGCUCUGUAGCUCCCCUGCAACUUUACAGCUUGGCCUUGGGUAUAGGCUGCAUCCAACAGAGCCUGAAGGUACAAAAUCUCAGUUAGAUCAGAACAUUAAAAAACAAAAACAAAACCCCAAGAAUUAGAAAAGAAGGUCAUAAGAUUUUCAAGCAGAUUUAAGGUGCUGUGUCCACAGUGUUAGGGAGUAGCACGUGGAACCAUACAUAUUAUUCAAAAAAUUUUUUUUCUUCUAAGGGUGCUUUAAAAAAACCCAAAAGAUGGCUAAUAAUUUCAUUAUUCAGAUCAUUCUUAUUGGUCCAUUUUCAAAUGAAAAAUAUAUACAUGAUUACAAAAUUCAAACAAUGCAGACUGAUUAAAAAUGCAAACUUGAAAGUCUCAGUACAAAGACUCACAUAUUUACAUAGAAGAAUACGAAGCACAAGAGGUUUUGUUUGCUGUUCUCCACUCAAUGUGCCUUGGAGAUAGUUUGAUAUCAGCACAUAAAGGUUUCUUCCAUUUUCUAUCAUGUGUAAAGUAGUCCAUCUUAUGGACAUAUGAUCAUUAACCUAGCCAGUCCCCUAUUGAAGCACACUUUGCUUGCCCUCUCAUUUUUUUGCUGUAGUGAAUCUGUGGCGGACAUCCUUGUACCUAUGUCCCAGGAAAUUUCUGCAUAUGCAUCUGUUGUAUAAAUUAAUACACGUAGUAGGAUUACUGGAAUAAAGUAAACAUACAUUUUAAAUUUGAUAAUAAAAAUACCAUGUUAUCCCAAAGAAAGGUUGCGUGAAUUGAGAUCCGUACAAGAGCCAUUUGCCACAUAUGCUCAGGUUUUGGUUUUUGUUUGCUUUGUUUUUUAUUCAUUUAGAAGUUGUUUUGCUCUAAGCUUGAAUUUGGAAUUCAAGAGUUUUGGGUUUUUUACCAAAUGCAAAAUCAAUUACCCCAAUAUUGAACAAUCUCUAUUUUCCCUAGAGAUCUGAAAUCUACCCUCAUCAUGAGUCUGUGCCAAUGACUGUCAAAUAUAUAUUUCCACAGUAAGCUCCUCCUCACGUAGCAGCCACCUGUCUACUAGAGCAGCCACCACGUAGCAGGCACCUGCCUGCUGACAGCUGUACUCGGAUAGGUGUCUCCAGUGAUGGAUGGAUAUGAUAGAGAGUCUUUGGUUUAUUACUCCCACUGACAAACCUGUUCUUGCUCAUCUUCUUCCGUUAAUGGUGCCAGCUCAUCUAACCAGUUACUCAGACCAAAGCACCAGGAGCUAUCCUUGAUUCCUUUCUUUUUCCCCUCUUUCAUUUCUAACCAACCAACAACUAUGUCAAGACCGUAGCCCACAUCAGACUUGCCAACAUAAUCACUUAAUCACUUCCUCCUCAGUGAUACCAGCAUCACCUUUUGGAUGAACCAUUGCAGGUGAUAGUCUUAGUUUAUUUUGUAUUGGUACAACAGAAUACCUGAGACUUGGUCAUUUGUGAAAUAAAUAAAUAAAUUGAGUUCUCACAGGUCUGGAGACUGGGAAGUCUAAGACUGAGGAUCUGCCUCUGGCAAGGGCCUUCUGACUGCAUCAUAAUAUGGUGGCAGAAGGCACCACAUGGCGAGAGAGCAGGAGCGAGCAAACUCAGGCCUCUUUAUCUUCUAGACUGUUAAUCUCAUUAUGGGGGCCCACCCCCAGGACCUCAUGUCGUCCUAAUUACCUCCCAAAGGCUCCUAUCCCACAUACUCUCAACAUAUAAACUUGGGGAUCAAGUUUCCAACACAUGAACUUGGGACGACACAUUCAAACUGUAUCACAGGGGGAACCGGAAUUGCAUUUCUCUUGUCUUCACGAUCCUUCUCUCUUCAUAGUAGCUAAAGUCAUUGUUUUAAAAAAUGUGUAACAGAUACAGGGCUCUACAGACUAAAGCCUUUGAGUGAUUUUUCCAUCUCAAUUAGAUCAAAAUCCAGAGUCCCCAUCAGUCCCGCCCUCACCUGCCUUCCUAGAUUCCUCUCCUGUCCUCUGUGGCCACCUUUCUGUCAUGCACACAGCUCCUUCCAACCUGGGGGUCUCGGUUGGUGCCCUUACUUUUGCUGGAAUGCUCUUUUUGGUGGCCUGUUCCUAAGGUCUCAACUCAAAUGUCACCCUCCUUACACUUAUUGCCUUGUUUCGUGCUGUCAACACUUAACACUUUAUGGAUUUUGUAAGCGUACUUAUUUAAGGGUUAGGAUCUUUGUCCAUUCUGUUAGGUGCCCAAUCAGCAUCUUCAACAGGGCCCGACACACAGUGGGCACUUGAACUUUUUUUCUGGAAUUUUAUUUUGUACCAUUGCCCUGUCUAUUGGUUCUUCAUUACUAAUUUCCUUAUAUUAUUGUAGCUUCAUAAUAAGUUUUCAUGCUUGUAAGAACAGGCUUUCUCUGCCCGAUGCCCCACAACCUCCUUUUCUUUCAUAAUUUUCCUGGCCAUUAUGUGUUUCCUUUUCCAGAGGAAUUUUCUAAAAGUACGCCUUGCUGGCAUUUUAAUUGGGCUCACGUUGAAUUUAUGGAUUAAUUUGGAGAGGGGAAAAAAAUCACUGAACCUUUUAAUCUAAAAACAAGUUAGACCUUUCUCUUAAUUUAAAAUUUUUUCUGGUUCCUAAGUAGAAUUUUUAAAACUUUCUAAUAUAGAGAAUUGAGAACAUACACAAAGGUAGGAAAGUAAAAUGAACCUUGCUAUAUCCUUCAAACAGCCCCUACGUCAUCAGUUUCUGGCCAUGUUUCUCUCAUCUGUACCCUACAUGCUCCCUCUCAUACAGUUCUCAAACAAAUCCCAGACAUCCAUCUUAUUGUUUCAUCUGUAAAUGUUUCACUGUGUAGAAACGAUAAAGAUCCAUCCUUCCUUCCUUCCUUCCAUUUUUUUUUCUUUUUUAUACUGGUGAUUGAACCCAGGGGUACUCUACCACUGAGCUUCAUCCAUAGCCCUUUUUAUUUUUUAUUUUAAGUCAGGGUCUCAUUUAAUUGCUGAGGCUGGCCUCAAACUUGCCAUCCUCCUGUCUUGACCUCCACAUCAUGAGCCACUGGGAUUACAGGUGUGUGCUAUCACACUGGGCAGGUUAUUUCUUAAAUAUAAUCAUAACAGCAUUAUUAUACCAAAAAAUCAACAAUAUUUUCUUAUCAGUAGUUCUAAAGUCUUCUUCUUCAUGCAUGUUUCUUAUUGGCUGUCAAUAUGUAUUUGUAUAUAUAAAUCUGUAUUUCUUAUUGAAUACUGGUGUAUUGGAAAUUUUGAUAUAUUGAUAUUAGCAAAGCUGUAAGUAUUUUAAAUUUCUAUGGCAAAUAGGAAUAUUUGUUUUCCAUUACAUUUUUCAAACUGUUAUUUUUUAUAAUAUUAAAACUAACAAUGUUCAUAUAUUGGCUUUAUAAUCUGUGUCAUUCAAUUUUCCUAUUGUUUCUAGACUUUUCUAGUUUUCUCACACCUGUAGUUGCAGGGUUCUGGAAUAAGUGUGACAAGGGCCUAAACCCCCAGAAUCUUUGCACACCUGCAAUACACACAGAGUUGUGGAGUUGGUGCAAUGGUGCUAGAAGGGACCCAGAACGGAUAUUAGAUACCAGAGGGAAUUUUAUUAAUCUGGGGUAGGACAUAAAGUGAUACAUUUGUGCCAGGUGUGUGGUACAUACCCAUACUUCCAGCUGCUUGGAAGGUGGAGGCAGGAGGAUUACAAGUUCAAAUUCAGCCUCAGCAACUUAGCAAGACCCUAAGUAGCUAAACACCUCUGGGAUCAAUCCAUCAGCACCACUACCAAAAAAAAAAAAAAAAGAUACAUUUACAUAAUGCAAAAGAAGUUCAUUCAUGAGUUCAAAGUAAGUCACCAAGUUUCAAGGAAGGGGUGUUCCCAGCAAGAUCACAUUAAUCAGUAAAAGCUCCCAGUUGGUGAUGGCCCAAGUCUGGCAGAAAAACACAGGAGCGUGUAUCAGCCUGCUCAGGCUACCCAUGACAAAAUGCAGAUCAGCCAACUUCUUUCUGAUGAGGAUUGCCUUCCCUAUAUUCCUCGUUUCUAUCUGAGAUUUCACUAGAAUCAUCUUUAACAUCCAUAUUUAUCACUAACCUUCUUUUUUAUGGCAAUCAAGCCUUUUCCAGCAUGCACCUUAAAACUUUUCAAGCCUCUGCCCAUUACCCACUCCCAUGUUUUUAGCUAUUUGAUACAGCAGUACCCUACUUCUUGUUAUCAGAAUCUGUAUUUGUCAGCUCAAACUGCCCGGUGGCUUAAACAACAGAAAGGUGUUUUCUCACAGUUCUGGAGGCUUGAAUUCUGAGGUGGUGGUGCCAGCAUGAUCAGGUUCUAGAGAAAGCCCUCUUGUGUAGUGCCUGCUCCCUGUGUCCUCACGUGACAGAGAAAGAGAGCGAGCCCAGUGUCUCUUCCUCUUUUCACAAGGACACCAGUUCUAUGGGAUCAGCCACCUCCUUCUCACCAUCUUGUUGACUUCAUUUGAUCCCAAUCACUUCUUUAAAUGCUGCAUUUUAUUGUAGUCAAAUGGGGUUGGGGCUUCAACAUAUGAAUGGAGGGGGCACAGUUCAGUUCACAACGUGACAUCUAACCUUGAGCGUUAUAUAUCACAAUUCCUUAUUGGAAAUCCUUGGAACCAGAUGUGUCUAGAACUCAUCUUUUUGGCAAUAUUUAAGAAGGUCACUCAGUACUUCCUAAGGGGUCCGGAGUAGCACCUGUCAUCUAAUGAAUUAAAAUUUCAGCAGCCCAAUGUCCGACUAUUACAAGAGCAGGAUGAAUAAGGACUGCAAAUGGCCUUGGCAGCUCAGAUCAGGCAAAGCUUUGCUAUCACAUGCCUUACAAAACCCAGUAGGGAAAGCUUUUGGAUUAGGGAGUUGCAGACAGGAUCUGUGCAUGUGAGUAAGCAAAGGCCCUGGUGGGACUAAAUGCAUCCUCCAGGGAGUUGAAAAAGAGAUAAGCAGGCCCCUUUCCCAUUGUAUUGGCUCCCACUGAGUGUCCACUUAGAGCACCCCAGCACCUUAGGCACCACACUCCUUACUGCCCCUGUGGCAAUGUCCCAAAGAGUCAUCUUCUGAGCCUCUUUCCCACUUCCCCUCCCAGCUCCCAGGGGACCCUGGGUAGGAGCUGGCUACAGCAGUGCCGACACACAGCUUGGGUGCCGAGGGGGAUGGCCCAGCUGUCUCCUCACUCUGGAAAGCUGUGGAAAACCACUUCAAGGUGUUGAUUACCUCCCAGGGAGCUUCUCUUUCUUUUUUCCUCAAUCAAGAUUGAAUGAAUAUAUGGCAGUGUUGAUUUAAUAUUUGCUCUGCUUGAGAAAAUUGGGUUUCUUUAAGCAGGGGGUAGUUAGCCGGGUCCCAAUAGGGAGGAACUAUUCCUUCAGUGCUUUGCCUUGUGUUGAGUUUACAGAUAUCCCUGGGAGUAAUUAGCAUUUUUAGUUACCUAAGCAGCAGCAGCAUCAAAGAAAGUAUCACAAGAAUGUUGCUGUGUAUUUGGGGACCAGCAGGACCUGGGAGCUGAAUGACCUGGUAUCAGGAUAGACUAGUCCAGACUCUAUUUCCAGAUGAAGCCACAUCUGGCCAUAAGGUGUUUUGUAGAGCAAGUGAAACUAUAGAUCCAGCCAGCCAGCCCUUCAUGUAUACGUGGGCCAUCUAAUAAGGCAAGUUAAAAUAUUGGUGUUAGCUGGAUAUAGUGCGUAUACCUAUAAUCCCAGCUACUUGGGAGACUGAGGCAGGAAGACUGCAAAUUUGAUAGUAGCCUAGGCAACAUAACAAGACCCUGUUUCAAAAAUGUGUGUGUGUGUGUGUGUUAAAUUUAAUUCCUAUGACUGCUCCUCCUGCCCCCUCCACCAUACACACACUGACUAGAUUCUGCUGAGCCCUGUCUUGAUUGAUUAUAUCUUUAGAUUCCUGACUGGGUCCAACACUGACAAAGAUUCUCCUCUGUUGCCAGAAAAGUUUCAGGAAUCUUCUCUGGUGCACUGCUUUCUGGGUCAGAGAGACUUCUAGAAGGUUAUGAUGCUAUCCUUGUAAGCCCAAUUUAUCAUAAUCUCUGUUCAAAAAGAGGCCAAUGUACGGUGCUAUUUUUCUGCUCUGAUAGUCAAUGCCAAGGCAUCUCUGGGUGGGGGUCUUGGCUUCAAAGUCCUUCCUUAGGAGGGAGAAAGAUAAAUUUCCACAGGCCCAUCAGAGCUAUUUGGGUGCUGGCAAAACCCUCGAAAAACGCCACUCAGGUCAUUUGAGACAUUGUCUCCGGUCCCCACAGUUAGUCAUUCCCUGACUUUUAGAGCAAGCUAAGCCUCAGAGAUAAGUCUGGUAAAAAUAUCAUUUAGGAUUGAAAAAUCAGUUCAAGUCCUAUGUGCAAAUUCUUGAGGUGGCUGCAAAGAAGUAGGACACUGUCCAUGUGGUCAUGGUCAUCUAACUGGAGAACAGUCCUGUAGGGCUGUUCCAGCUGCAUCCCAAGCCUGGCAGCUCCUCACCCAGCUUCAGUUUGUUCGUCUGAUAAAUGGAAAUAACUCAUGCAGUUGCUAGAUAACCCUGCACGCUGCCUGGGCCUGGACCACACUGGGUAUGCUCAGAAUAUCCCUCCUCAUCACAUGCUGAGGAUGCUCAGGAUGGCACUCAGCGUCUUCCUGGAGCUGCUGGAACAAAUAAACCAGGUGACUUCAACCAAUAGACACUUCUUUUCUCCUAGUUUUGAAGGCCCACAACCCCAAAUCAAAGUGUCAGCAGGACUGCACUGUCUCUGAAGGGCCUGAGGAGGACAUUCUUUUUCUCUUCUAGCUUUGGUGGCCACACACAUUCAUCAGCGAUGGUGUGUCCCUCCAGUCUCCUCUGCCCUCCUCUUCUCUGUGUGCUCUGCCUAGUCUCUCUGCACAUCUGGAACAUUUGGACGAUCCAGGAUGAGCACCUUCUUUCAAGAUCCUGACUUCAUCACUUCUGCAGAGACCCUUCUCCCAAAUAAGGUGACAUUCGCAGGUUUCAGGAAUUAGAAUGUGGAAUUAGGGGGAGGCACCAUCCAGCUCACUACACUCAGUAAAUAGCACCUGUGACGACAAUGAUGGUGAUAACAAGUGUCACCUGUGAUUGUGAUAAUGGAGUUGAGACCAUGAUAACGAUGAUGAUGACAAUGUAAAACAAAAAAGCAGCAGAGGGGAGCCUGAGAUGGCACAAGUAUCAGGACCAGGCUCUGGCCUGACUCAUUGCCUGCCAUUCACUUGCGUUCACUCCUGCUUCUUCAGCUUUGCCCCUUGGGGCUUUCUACCCCCAAGACUAGUAGGUCAACUCCUAUCAGCCAGAAUGUAGAGGGACCGUGCUGUUCUGCAGGCCAGUGGCCUCCUGUGUGUUGUAGUUGGUCUACAGAAGUCCAACAGGCCCAUUUGAUCCAGCCAGGCCCAUGGCCAGCAGCUGAGAGGAUCUGUGGUGCUGCCCAGGAUCCAGCACUUUCAUCCAGCUGGCCACCAGCCACUGCCCAGGCUUUCAGGAGGACACCCUGCCAUCCAGGCCCUGGAGAGUCAGCGACUCCCUGAGGCUGUGGGUGGAACAGCUUUCCCUUCCAGCUGUGAACGCUGCUGUCCAGAUGGCCACUGCUUGGCGUAGGUUUGGUGCCUUGUUUGUUUAACAACUUCAGGGUGGGAAGAGCCAGCUUUUGGAUUUGGCAAGGCCCUUGGUGUGCAAAGUGAAAUCCCUGGCGGAGAGAAUGCAGCGGGGCGGGGGGGGGGGGGCUGCUGUGCAGCUAGUGAUCAGAUAGAGGCUUUUGGGCCCUCUGCCUGCUCAGGCCUGCAGGUGGUGUUGGGGGCGGCGAAGAUCAGCAAAACUCUUUUCUAUCUCCUUUACUAAUGAAGAUUUGGGGCUAGGCCUUCUCCUAGAACCCCCACGAGGUUGCUCAGAAUGAUGCUCAGUGUCCGUGUGCAUUCAGAGCCUCUGAGGAUCAGCUUGAAGUCCGAGUUGCUUUCUUAUCAAAGUUUACAUGGCACUGGAGGAGAUCUGCUCUCCGGUUCACUUGUUCAUUUCCCAUCCACAUAUCAAUGGAGGGGCAGUGGAUUUCUGGCCCAGAGUUUGGAGAUUUGGAGUCUAGUUCCAGUUCUGUCCUUAACUUUAAGGAAGUCAUUUAAACACCAAGUUUCAGAUGCCUCACCUGGACAAUGAGGUGGGGGAGAUCUUAACCCAGCCUGCUGCCCAUGCUUAGGAGAGGUGCAAAUGGCAUUUUCUCUCUUAGAGCUCUUUGGAAAUGAAUCAUCCCUACAAAACUGCACAGGAUUAAAUAUAGUUUUUAGAGAAAAUGAUAAUAAUGUGGGCAACUCCUAACUAAAGUGCUUUUGCAAUGAUAGUGAGUGGCUUUGAAAUGUCAAAGACAACAAUACUCAUAGAAUGUUAAAAGCCAGAAAUGACUGUAGGGCUGUCUUCAGCCAUGGGGUAUCUGGGCCUGACAUGCAUUCUUAGGGGGCAUUAGCUCAUGUUUUUGAAUCCAUGCUAACUGGUGUGUAGGAGGUGCUCCGGGAAAUGCUGAGUGACUCAGUGGUCACCUGGGUCCUCCUACUACAUCACUUGUAAGGAAGGAAACCUUGGAGUUGAAAUGAUACUGGGUGCUCCAUUUACACUCUGUAGGUGAUUCUUUCCUGAGUGUGUCAUGUUCUCCCCACCCCUGCAUUGGCUGUGCCCUUGGCCCAGAUGACAUCUAUGUAUAUAUUUAUUUAUGCACUGUUGUAUUUAUUUUUGCAUGUGUUAGAUUAUAUUUAUUCUUCAGAAUCUACCUUGAAUGUUGCUGGGUCCUCAGAGAAGCCUUUUCCAGCCUCUGAGGCUAAGUUGGUCCUCUGUUCCUACCUCCUCCAGUCCUAGGUGCUCCAUCAGGGCUGGGCUGGGAAGAGGAGAACUAGUCACAAAAACUCGGGUUAAAUAACUUCAAAAGUUAUUUGAAGGCCCAUAGUCACAAAACCCAUCAAGGUUAAUGAUAUUUCAGUGGCAUAUUUUUUUAAAAAUCACAGUAAAUGCCAACAAAUCUACAUGGAACCUAAUAUAGAUAUCUAUUAAAAUACAGACCCGCUCUCACCCUACAGUUGAAUGACUCAGCCUCACCUCCACAUAUCCCAGCCCUGUCCGUGGACCUGUCUUUAUCUAAAAUGUUGAUAUUUUGCUCAUCAUGCAUUUUUGCAUUGACUUUGAUUUAGUAAAAGGCUGAUUUAAGAUAUUGGUUAUCUUGGUGACUGAGUUGUUUUUUUGUUGUUGUUGUUUUGUUUUGUUUUUCCUGUGUUUCUUCUAUUUUGUGCCCAAGGCUCCUUCUGACUUGCUUCUUGGCAUAUACUCCCUUAGGUGCUUAUUUAUUUUCAGGGUUUCCCGUGAGCUCUGAGGGCAGGGACAGCCACUUUAUAUUUGGGUGUAAUAAAGGUCUGACUGGGCCUCCUUGGCCAGCCCUUGUUUUCCCCUCCUCCUCCUCAUCUUGAGUACAGAAAUAGCUCUUCCUUGUGUCCUGCCCAGGCCAACCUCAAAAGCGUUUGGUGACGGCUGUGUAUUCUACGGAAGGUUCAAUGGGGGAGGCAGAGGAGCAUAACAUCUUUAAAAUUCUACCUUACGCAUCUUUUAAUUCUCUUCUCCAAAGUUCUUCACUCCCACCAGCUGUCCUAUCUCCCCCAUCCUUCUUUUCAUUCCUACAGCCUCUAAGAAAGAAAGAAAGAAAGAAAAGAAAAAACCCAGCAUUCCAGUUUCUGUCCUCAGCUUGUACACCCACUGAGCAAAACAAAUGCCCAACCAUUUAUCCUGGAGAUUUCAAGUCUUAAAUCUUAUUCCUUAAGGGGGAAGUGUUUUAGUCAGCUUUUUCACUGCUGUGACUAAAAGACCUAACCAGAAAAAUUGUAGAGGAGAAAAAGUUAUUUGAAGAGUCAUAGUUUCAGAGGUCUCAGUCCAUUCCUCGGGCUCAAGGUGAGGCAGGACAUCAUGGCCAAAAAAUGUGGCAGAGAGAAGCAGCUUACAUCUUGAUCAGAAAGCAGAGAGAGAGUCCACUCUCCAGACAAAUAUAUACCCAAAGCUAAGCCCCAAUCCCUACCUCCUCCAGCCACACCCUACCACGUUAGUUCCCACUCAGUUAAUCCCUAUCGGGGGAUUAAAUCACAGAUUGGGUUAAGACCCUUACAGUCCAAUCAUUUUUCCUCUGAACCUUCUUACACCAUCUCACACAUGAGCUUAGGGGACACCUCACAUCCAAACCAUAACAGGAUGGAGAUUGUGGGAGGUGGUCUUGGUGAAUCACCACCCAGGGAUGCAGCGCUGCCUCUUAGAGGGGCUCAGUGAGUGACUGAUAAAUGAAUGGAUUCAUGAAGAAAGGAAGGAGGCCUAGGUACAGGAAGUGGGGGACCAGGGGAGGAACUUAUAACAUUUCUUUCAGGAGAUAUUCGAGGGGCUUAGGCAACUUGCAAUGGUAUCCUUACUGCUUUCUAUCAGCAAUACAUAAAUUCAUGAGAAGCCUAUCCUAUAGCCAUAUGAAGAAUUUUCUGUGCCCCUCACCCUUUCUGUUCACUGCUUUUCCUAGUUCUAGGUACCUUUACCCAUAAGCACUGGCCAACAGGGACAACUAAAAGAACCUGAAUGAGCCCAUCCUAUGCUAGGGACAGAGUGUUCAGCUCACCUUUUGAAGGCUCUGUGAUUUUCUUGGUGGCCCACGAGGGUUCUGUGUCGUCGAUGCAUCCUUGACUCUCAGGCCACAGAGUUCCUACUUUCUUGCAUAGAGAUUCCAGAACCAGACUUGGCUGUAGCCAAGACCUGCUCCCAGUCUGUGAGGGGUCAAGGAGUCUGGUCCUUCAUGAAGUAUGACCCAGGCAUUCUAAGUGUUGUCAGGCAGUAAGUAGAAGCAGUUCACAGUAGGAAGCUUAGAAAUAAGAAUAGAAGGAAAAUGAAAAGUCACCUGGAAUCUUGCCCCAGGAGAUAACCUCAGCUAGGCAGCUCCUCACAUUCUCUUUAGGCUUUCUUCCAUGUCUCUUUGCAGAAAGUGGUGAUUUUGCAAGAGGAAAGAGCCUAUUGCUUGCUCUGCUUCCGAUGUAGCCCUCUAGCACUGAACCAGGAGGCUGGGGCAGGGACACAUUGGCAUGAAACCUCUGCAGCUGCCCCCUUGAGUAUAGAGAGGCCUGUGAGAUCCCUGUUCCAAGUCAAGGAGCCUGGGGACUUGAUGCUGGCAGGAUGCUCUGGGUAGUGGCCUUGUGCCUCCAGGGCCUUAGCCCAGGAUGCAAGUCUUCGCCUCCUUCCUUAUUCCUUUACAUCACCUCUCACCAGGCGGGAGGUGCUGAUGUCAGUUGUGGACACAGGUUUUAUUAGGCUGUGACUCUGUUUUGGUAACACUGGAAGAAAGAGAGAGAGAAGCAGCACCGAGUGUCCACUAAGGGCUAACAGCUUUCCACACAUAACUGCAUGUGCUCCUCACAACUUAUGAUGUGGAUCAUGUUCCCCAUAUUAUAGAUGAGGAAACCAAGGCUGGGGAAGUCAAGCAGCUGCCUCAGGGUGACACAAGAAGUACCUGCAGUCCUGUGUGGGUGCACCUUCAGAGGUUUGUCAUCUUACUGUGGUUUGUGGCAGGGCUGGAGGUCAAAAAGGGUUUGCCUUUGCUUGUGGUGUUUCCUUUCUCUCAGCAGUGAAGAACACUCCUGAUCAUUGAUGUGCUUUGGGGUUUGAUGUUGUUUAUUGCACACAAGGCUGCUGGUUUUCAUUGACUCAUUCCACAGAUAUUUGUAAUGUGCUCCAAGCACUGAGCUGUCAUUAGUGAUAGGAAGUGAGGUAAUCCUUCAAUGAAUUUGUGUUUUGGUGGAGUAGAAAGAUAUGUACACAACCCUUGUCUUUCACAUGGUAAGUGCAGUGGUAGAGUGUAGGAGAGGAAUACAGAACCAUCUAAAGAAAGUGGAUGUGGGGCAGGCUAGGGGAUCACAUCCCAGAGGAAGCACUUUUUGAUCUGAGUUUUGAAGGCAGAGAGGUGUGAAGCAGAGUGUCUAGGAAACCACACAAAGUUCAUGAUGGCUGAAAUUGAGGGGGCAGAAGGCAGCCUGGAUGUCUUAGGAGUGCCUGAUUAGAAAGGAAACUGAGUGAUAACACUAAGGUGUCCAAUGGCAGUAAUCCCCCCUCAUCUGUGCUUUUGUGUUUUGUUGUUCAUUACCUUCAGUCACCUGCAGUGGGAAAAUAUUAAAUGGAAAAUUCCAGAAAUAAACAAUGCAUGAGUUUUAAAUUGCACAUCAUUCUGAGAAGCAGGACAAAAUCUCAUGCUGUCUGUUGUUUCCCACCCAGGACGUGAAUCAUCUGGUUGUCCAGUGUACCCACACAGUUUACACCACCUGCCCGUCAGUCCCCUGUUGGUUGUGUGACCAGAUCCACUGUUGCAGUAUUGCUUGCUUACUUGUGUUCUAAGAGUAGUGACGCCAGCAAUUCAAAUGAGUGAACACAGUAAAAGACAUCUUGAGAGAAAGAGAGAUCACAUUCACAUAGCUUUUAUUAGUGUAUUUUACUUGUUUUAUCUUAAUAUUAGUUAUAUGUUGAUCUCUCACUAUAAAAACUAAUUUAUAAAUUAAACUUUAUCAUAGGUAUAUUGGUAUAGAGAAAAAAACAGUACACACCUGCACAUACACACACGAGAGAGAGAGAGAGAGAGAGAGUUCAGUACCUUCAUAGUCUUAAGCAUCCACCGGGAAUCUUGGAAUGAAUCCCCUGUGGGUAAGAGGAGAUGUUUGUGGUCCCAGAGCUUGGGGAGCUACUGAAGGAUUUUAAGGAUCAGCUCCACAUGAUAGAAAGACCACCCUUUGGUUUCUGAGUGCAGGAUGGCGUGGGUGGGACAGACAAAGAAGAGUCCACUGCAGUGGAGAAGUGAUUUGUCCUGGGACAGCUGGGCAGAGGCCAUGGGCACAGAUGUGAGGAGGCAAGAUGUGAGAAAGAGCAAGAGGAGGACUCCGUGCUAUGAGAAGGGGAGUUGGGCCCAGAGGGAGCAGCAGAGUAAGAAAACAAAGGCCAUACCUGCUUGUGGACUGAGGCCAGCAGUGCAUGGUGGGGCCUUUCAGGAAAUGGGGGACAGAGGGAGAGGUGAGGCCUUGGAGGGAGUUUGCAUAGGCGAGGGCUGGUAGACCAGUUGGAGGAGGAUGAGCAUGAAGGACAUGUGAGUGGAGGGAUGGUUCUAGGUGUAAACUGUGAGGACUGUGCUUUAUCCCACAACCCUUUUCCCUUCCUAUGUCUCUGCUCCCUCCCCCCAGUCUCGUGCUGCCAGUCCUUUCAGUUAGGUGGCCCCUGCCUUAUCCCUUUGUGCACUUUGCUCGGGCCUGGGAGGCACACGCCCUGCAAGGCCCUGCUGUUAUUCCCAGGAAGGUAGUUUUGCAUCUUUCCAUUUUACAGACUGAGGCAAAAUGUGUAAGCUCUUCUACAUGUUUUGUCCAUUGAGGGAUGGGCAUUUUCUGACCAGAGAGAAGAAGGGAAGUGGGGGGUAUUGUAAGUUGGCCAAGACUGGCCUUGUUUUAGCAUUGGAAGUCCCACAUCCCAAUAAAUUCUUUAGGCAAGCUGGUCACCUUAGACUUUGUGGGGAAAGGGGGUGGGGGGGAAUCUUCCUGAAGAACCAGGAGUGCUCUGAGCUUCGACUCCCAUCUCCCAGGGGUGCUACCUUGCUACAGGUUCCCAAUCCCUUUGUCCCUGGGACACAGUUGCCGGGUUUUAUAGAGGCUGCCUCUGGCUGUGUCCUAGCGGGGGACAGGCCUGCAUGUUAAGAGACCUGAGUCCCAGUCUCCAGGGAUUGAGCACAUAAUGGAUCCACCACAUUUAUCCAGCAACCUAGGUUUCACAAGGAAAAGGGGUGAAGUGGAAGCCUGAAUAAGUCUUUCCCCUGACCUCUUCAACAGCUGACCUCUAGCCAUACACACAGGUGUCUCUACUUACAAUCCCUUCUGCAGACCCAGACCUGAUGGCUUCCUGUUUUAUUUAGAAAAUCCAAUACGCAUUCUAACUUCCCAAAGCCCACACUCUGCACAGGGCUGCCAGUGCCCGGAGCAGCUUUGAUGUCACACAUUUGCAUCUGGGAACAUAACUCUCGUCCUCUCUUGCAUUCAGAAACCAUGGGGAUGAUGAGCAGAUGUUUUUCUAAUAAUGAGAAGAUGUGCAGGCGCCGACACACGAGAAUAGUUUCCAGUCCGUAAGUUAAUUAGCAAGCUGGGGAGCCCAGAUAAAUAAAGCUCUCUGUUUCCUUUCCUGCAGUUUAAAAUAUCAAAUCUGGAGGUUCCCUCCCUGCUCUCUCCUCCACCCCAAGCAUCAGGAUUUGAGGGGAAGCAUUUAGAUACUUGGUAAUUGGCGCGCAUGGAACUGGCUUCCUGGCAGCCACAGGGCCUGUGUGCCUACAGAAGCGCCAGCUCAACCUAGAGUCAAUUCUCAGUUUAUCAUUGGUUGAUUUUCUAUCUCCACCCCACCCCUAGCCUUGCCUUAGUUGUUCUUCAUUUUUACUUUCUUGAGAGCUUUCUAGCGGCGUUACUGGGAUAGAGAAGAGGUGGGAGUUAUGGGGCUUUGGUGCCAAGUCCUCUGGGAGCACUUUUUUUUGUCUCCUACAAUCGUUAAGCAGCUCCAUUUUAGGGGCAUUGUUGCCUUUCCCCAUUGUACAGAUGGCAAAACCAAGGCUCAGACAAGCAACUUCAGCUGUCCCCAAAUCUUCUCCUUUUUGAAAAGUCCUAAAUAAGACCCAUACCUGGUUAGGGACUUCUCAUGGGACCCUUGCACAGAGAGGAACUUCCCCUUGGACAACAAUUGGCUGUUUGGAGAUCUAAGAGGUCAGCCUCCAACUCUGGGAGUCCACUUUGCCUCCUCCUCCUCAUCCCAUCUCACUUCUAAAAUUCUGCCCUAAUGCUCUUCCCUGUUCCCCCUGAGAAACGGUCAAAAAGUGUUUCCAAGCAGGUUGAAUGAUCUUCUCUAGAAGUCAAAGAGAAAGAAAGCCUGAGAAAUUCUCGAUACUUAUUCCAGCCCAGAAGAGCCCGUGUUUCUUCUAUAAAAAUAUAAUCCUCUGAAUUUGAGACUUGGAGUUGAAUGAGUGUGUUCCCCUGGUGGAUGGUGUGUUUACUGAAAAUCUGUGUCUGUUGCUAACCAUGCUUUGAAACAAGAGACAUGUGUUUUUAAUAGAAUUGCAAGUUUUAUGCCUUGUUAAAAAUACCCACAUGGACGCUGGCUUGGAGGAUGCAGGCGGGAUGUUGCAGAGGGGCCAUGAAUUCCAUUCCCAGCCUGCUGGGACCCGGGAGAGGAAGCAGGGAAGGAUGGCCUGUGCCCUUGCAGUAUUGGAUUCUGUGGAGCCUCCCUGUUUUCUUUUGGAAGUGACCACUGGCCGCCAGCUGGCCUUCUCAGCCCCACCCGACGUGGAACAGCAACGGGUUUUCUCCUCCCCAAGUGGAAAGGACAAGGGACUCAGUUUUUUGCUUCCAGAGCAGCUUUUGCCCUAAUUGCGAAGAGCGUCCAUUGGAUUUUGUGGAAAGCCUGAAUAACAGGGUGCUUUAAAGGAAAUGCAGCCCUUAUGACUUAAAGGAGCAGGGGUAAGAGCCACACCCCACACAAGAUGACUGGUAAUACUCAUGGUCCCCAACAUAGUGCCUGUCCCCAAAGGGAUGCCUCAAAGUCAUUCUUGGACUUCAGUUGUCAACACAAUAUGUGUUCUUUUUUUCUGAUUAUAGAAGAAAUAGCUAUAUAAAAAUGAAGUCGAUUUUCAUUAAUAAUUUUACACCCAUAGAUGCUGUUCAUUUCUAAGACAUUUCUUCUCAAUUUUUUCCCGUGUGUAUGUAUAUAUGUAAAUAGAAUGCUAACACAAUUGGGAUCAUACCAACAUAACGGUACGUUGUGUGCAUAUUCCAAUUUCACUAAGGAGACUUUAAAAUGUGUUUCUUAAAAAAAAAUGAAUAUGUAAUACUCCAUCCAGAGGGUACCCCACCCGUGAUUGAACUAGUCCUCUUUUUCUCAAGUGCUUUGAAUGCAGAUUUUUCCUAUUAUAGAAAAUAUUGUAAUAUUCUUCCCUUUACUCUUAAUUAUGUGAAAUGUUUCUUUUGUUUGAAGUAUCCUUGCUUUUUUUCCCAUGGUAAAUGAUGGAUGUAUUUUAGCAAUGAAAAUCAGGAGAACUUUCCUUACCCUAGUUAAGGAACCAUGUAUUGUUUUGUUAAGAGGGUCAGAUUUUAAAAUUAAAAUAGUGAGCGCAAAGGAGAGGAAGAAUAUUUGCACAUUCUCUUGCAUAACCUAGAUUGUAUUGUGUGAAUUGAGAAUACACGGUAGGUAUGUGCUACAUUCCCUCCCAGAGUUUACUGUCUGCCCCCAAAGAAGCCUGAUUUGUACACUAGUAAGAAUUAGAGAAUAAUACUACAAGGUAAAAGAACACUACAAGGUUUCCAACUUUGGUGGAUGAAUAUGUACUAAGAGAAGACUGAUAGGAGGAAAUCCUUGCAUUUUCUGGCACCAUUAAAGACUUCUGCAGAGAGAUGGGAUUUGUAGUUGAUCUUAAAGAAUAUCUGGGCUUUAGGAAGAUGGAAAACUACCUUGUAUUGAGCACCUACCAUGUGUUUUUUGCUUUAUAAAUAUCACCUCAUUUAUUCCCCGCAAUCGCCCUACCUAUUUAUUGUUAAAGACCAAUUAAACUCUUAGAAAAAUAUGGUGUUUAAUAAGAUUAUAGAUUUAUAAAGCAUAAAUUUGGAAAUAUUUGUGAGUACAAUGUGAUUGAAAUAGACACAGAAAGAUAAUUUUUUUUUUUUUAAAAAAGAAGAAAUCAGGGCAUAGGGAAAAUAUGAAUAGUAAGAACGAGAUAGAGACAAUGUAGGAUUUCUGCUGGUUUUGUUCACUGAUCCCACACAACCGGAUUGAUGACUGCAUGUAGUAGGUAUUAAUACAUAUUUGUGGCAUGAAAGAACAGAUGAAUGAAAGGGGUGGUCAAGAUGUUUGCCAUGUGGUCAUAUAUACAUUGCUGGUGGUUAGAUGCAUUUUUGACUUUGAGCUUUCUUAUAGUCAGCACAUAGGGUAACAUGUUCCAAAAUGACCUCAGUUUGUAAGUAAGGAACCGGUUUAACAGUGUGGAGACAGGAUUUAACCUGGUGGCAUGUGGGAGAAAGUGGGAUUGGAUUCCAAGGAGAGGGACAGCUACCGGCGGGGUUUGAAGGGGUGGCUGGGAAGUAUAGGAAAGCAGAGAAGUCUGUUUAGCACUUAGGCAUGUGGAGGGUGGGGAGCAGCCUCCUUUCUUGGGUAGAAAGCAGACUUAUUUAAAAGCAAAGUGGUCCCAUCAUUUCCUUCCCAGAUCUUUACCCUCUGUUAGGAACUAAAUGGUGCCCUGGCCCCUGCAAACUUCAUGUGCUAACUCACUAACACCCAGUCUGACUGUUCUGGAAGAUUAUGCCUUUAAGAAGGAAAUUCAGGUUAAAUGAGACAAGAAGGAUGGAGCCCUGGCCCAAAAGGAAGAGUCACUAAACACCUCUAUUUUUCCAAGCAUGCAUCUGUACAUAGAAGCAAAGCCCAGCACCUUGAUCUUGCACUUCCAGCCUCCAGAACUGAGAGCGAAUAAAUAUUUUCCCUGUUGUUCAAACCAUCCAAUCUGUGGUGUUUUUGUUAAGGCAGCCGAGCAAAUGAACACACCCUCUGCAGAAACACGGAAGACAGAUUCACACCGAGCUGUAGACUACUGGAAAUGUCACAUUUAGUCCCAGAAGCCCAAACAUCACAGAGUUGUUCAUUUUUUACAAGAGUCUUGAAACAGGAUCGAUUCCUUUUUCUGUUCCUGCAUAUCUGGGAGCUGCCUCAUCUCCUCUGCAGUAGUAACAGCAGCUCACGGAGGCCUUCAUUCUCAAAGGGAUGCAACAAUACCAGACUAAGGGUGGCAGGAAAGGCCAUGCCCAUGCAGAGUGGACUGAUGGAUCUCAGUCUCUUCAAUUUUGGUCUGGCAUUUUCCACUCUAUCUUUUGCAACCUUUUUAUCUAAAUCCCUAGCCCCUGGUGGCCCAUCCCUGCUCCACUCUGAUCACAGAUAUGACUCACCCACAAUUAUAAAUUCAAAUUGUAUAUCAUGGGAGUAGAUGGUAGGGGGACAACUAUGGUCACUGCAUACCCCUCACUUAUGGCAUCUGCUCCCAACCAUAAAUGCCCAUGGGAAACUGGUGUCCCUGGGGUGGGGCCACAUGGCAGGAGCCUGGGCGUUUGUUUUACUUUUGCUGUCUUCUGGGUUUGGUUUAUACUAUUCUUUUCCAUCUGGCUUCUAGAACCCCCAAAGCUAUUUUUAAAGCAAAAUUGUGGCUUCUGUUUUGACAUAAGAGGAAAGGCCGUCUCCAAAGAUCAUUCAUUAUUUGUUGGUAAAGUUUGUACAGCAUGUGCCCUGAUCGAUUCAGGGGAGUAGGACUCACCAAGUCUACAUCACACGUCUGCUAGAAUUGUGCAACACCAUGGACCUGAAUCUGGACUUAUGACCCUGUAUCGGGUCAGGGUCAGUUUAGGGUCACCCAUAGCCCAGGCCUAAUCUCAUGCUGUUUUUAUAAAUCAUUAAGAAAAGUCCCCAGCUUUAGUCUUCUCCUUUCAACUCCUGUUCUAAACCUCUUCGAGCCUCAACUUCCUCAUCCUUAAAGAAUUGAGUAGAGCCCCACCCUAUCAGGUCAUUGUGGGGACCCAUGUGCAAAGCACCUAGUAUAGCAUUUGGCAUGCAGCAAGUUGUCAUUUGUAAUUUUUUUAAAAGUGCAAAUUUCCACAAGUUCCAGUGAUACCAUCUGAGAAUAAAUGAGAUUUGAGGAGUGCUUUUGAUCUGCUGAGUGUCUUUGAGAUGCCUCCAAGUCUUAGUAUUCAGGCCAGGGUCAGAACUCUCAAGGCUUGUCCAGAUGCCAGGUCCAUCCAUGCAGGAUGCUCAUCAGUGAAUGGAUCUUGGUAGGAGAAUCUGGGCUGCCCUUUUGCUAAAACAAAACCAGAAAAGCUUAUCUCUUGUGGCUUUGCACUAGAAUAUGCAAUCCAACCUAAUUAAAGAGCAGAGGGUACACAUGCAUACCACUAAACCAGAAAAUGUACUAUAAUCUGAGCUACUGUGCGUGUGUGUGUUUGUGAGUGUGUGUGUGUGCGCGCGCUAGAGGAUAGAAAGGAGGGCUUAAAAUAGAGUAGAGGAUCCAUUUUUCCUGGAGUGAGGUUUUCAAUGAGAUUUUGCAUAGAGAACUGUAUUAGUCAGUUUUGCAUUACUACAACAAAAUACCCAAGGCAACUAACUUAAUAAAAAGAAAUGGUUUACUUAUGUUUUUGGAGGUUCAGUUCCAAGAUGGAGUGGCCCAAUUGGUUUGGGCCUCUGGCAAGUAUGCCAAAUGGCAAUGGCAAGGUUCACAUCAAAGCAAAUAGUCACAUAUCAAGCCAUAGUGUAGAGAUAGAAAGAAUGGGGUCCUAUAAUCCCCACUGAGGUCAUGCCCCCAGGGACCUAAGGACCUCCCAUUAGCUUUCAUGUCUUAAAACUCUACAGCAUCUCCCAAUGAGGACACUCCCCAAGUCAAACCACAGCCAGACCCCAGAGCAGAAGCAAACCUGUGCUUGAUUGUGUCUACCUGCCCUACACCGAGGGGACCCUAAAAGACACACACAAACCACAGUAUAUGCAGGGAGCCUAGGGUGAAGUUUUCAUGAAGCUUUCCUAAGAGCUCUCCACCUCCAUGCCCCUCCUCACAGGGAGGUAGAGGACCCAGGUCACUUCUUAUCUGUGACUUAUCUGAGGGUGUCUGACUGCAGACCUCACCAAUUCCUCUUUGAAUCUGAAUCCUAUGUACAAGUCUCAGGGCUCUCAUGUAAAACAAGAUGGUUGACCCCUGUGAGCUUAGGGCGACCCCAAGUUUCAUCAGCCAGGCACAUUCUCGGUGUACCCUGUGGCUGAGGCAGCAUGGGGGCAUCCACAGUAGCCUUGCAGGCUUUUCUUGGUGGAUUAAACCAGUGCUCUCUCCAGUCCCCAGCCCAAGCACUGGCUGCAAGUCUCAAGGGCACCAGCCUCAGAAGGAGGAGAUCUUUGCCCUUUGUAUCUCUUAAAAAUAGAAUAACAAAUAGACAACCCAUGGAAAAUUUGUGUCUUGAAGUCAGUAAUUAACUUGGGUUCUUGAGAAAUUGUACAUGUCAACUCAAAGGAGAAAAGUUGGCAGUGAGCCGAGACCAAGGCUGUGGGUGAUCAGAAGUGUGGUGUCUUGGUUCAGAAUGCAGGUUCCCAGCCUGUCCUGGAUGUGGGAAGGCCCUGGGGACUUGCAGGGAUCAGCAUAAGAACACAGAGCCCGGAGAAGUACUUGCAGUCAAGUGGAGUGGGCGGGGCAUGUACACAGACAACGGGGUUAGCCACGCCACAGUACAAUCCACCCCAAACUUAGUGGGUUAAGAGAAGAGUCAAUGUAUUGCUCGUGAUUCUUUGGGCCAGGAAUCUGGGCAAUAUUUGGCUAAGCAGUUUUCUGCUUCAUGUGGCAUUGACUUAAGUCCCUCGACAGGAUCCAACUUGUGUCUGGACUGGUCCAGAGGGUCCAGGAAGACUUUGCUCUCAGGUCAAAGGCUAAGCAAGGAGGAGCAGGAAGGCUGAGUAUAGCAGGCUUACUUUGUUGUGUGGCCAAGACUCUCUGUCUCUCUCUCUCUCUUUUUCUCCCUGUGGUCACAGGGCCUCUUCCUUUCCAUUGGGUCUCUCCAUCUGGUCUGUUUAGCCAGGUCACUAGAUUUUUGCAUGGCAGCUCAGCGCUCCCAAAAGAGAGGAAGAAACUGCUAAUCUUGUUAAAGGUGAGAAACACACUGGCAUAGUGUCCCUGCUGCCAUAUUUCAAUGAUGGAGCAGUCACAGAGCAGCUCAGGUUCAAAGAGGCCACCUCAAUAGGGAAGUGACAUGUGUGCACAGGAAGGAAAGGCAUUGCAACUGUCACCUUUGGGGAUGAGCUACUACAGGGAUCCUUUGGAAGAAUGGGAAAGAUUCAAAGCCCAGGGCCACUUCCAGGGUAGUCAAGGGCAAUGAAGCCACAGUGCCUUUGAUGGUGCAAGGGUAUCCGCCUACUACAGUACAAGAUCGGUAUUCCUCUGACUCCAGGAAUGAGAUAGAGCAACAUGAACUUCCCUUGCUUCCCAACCUGGACACAUUCAGCCCCAGAGUUACUUGCCAGCUUACUUCAUUUUCUCCCAGGGAAAGCAAUGAUUUUCAUCAGGAGUGUCACUCGAGUAUUGGUGGCUACCUGGAGCACAGUGUGGAAGAUUCUAAGGCCACAUCAAGCCUCAGUGCCGUGAUGUAUUGGCCAUGUCUCCCUGGGAUAUGGAAUUGAGGAGGGGCAUCACGUGUACCAUUCAGAUUUGUUCUAAGUCCAACCAUGCUAUACUCUUACCAGAAGGGAGACAGUUAUAUUUAUUGGCCCCCAAACUUGCCUUGUGAUUUCCCACAUUCUCCAUUUGCAUUUCCUCCUGUGAUUGCCUGCAGCCUGCCUGGCCUGCAAAGUCAGCCUACUCCUCCAAGCUUUGCAGAGCCACCCAGCUUCUAGAUUUCUAUAGCUUUAGGCUGAGUGACUUUCCACCAUUAGACACUACCAGCAUUGUUAAUUAUCUUUUCAUCUGCAUGCUACACAUUCCCAAUUAGGUUGUUGGAUAUUUGAAGUCAAAGACACAUCUUGAUACUCAUUCUUCCAACUCCAGGUAAGUCGGCUUUUCUCCUGAUAGUAAUGACUUGAACAUCAGAGGAAGUUUUGAAUAUAUGAAAUCUAUCCCUUCAGACAGGCGUCAGUGGUAGAAAUGGGUUUAUAUUCACAGGCUGGGCUCAAUAGGGCUUGCCUGGAUUGGAAAUAGGGUGAUCCUAUUGGGUCAGCGUCCCCCUGUAAUGGACCUGGCUGAGGUGGUUGGGCAGCCAGUGCUGAUGCUUUUGCAAUUCCUGAUGACAUGUCCAUGAGUUCACGUGUGUCCAGGACCCCACUGUUUCUAUUUCCUGUUGUUUGAAUUACCUGUCUGAAAAUGCUUGAGUCAAUAUCCUGGUAGAUGUUCAAAGACACCAGAGGGGGAAAUUGUGUGAUCAGGGAGAGGAGAGAGACUUUUGAAGGUCCUGUGGAAUGGGAAAGACUGCUUCUUUCUGUCUCUGGAGGGUUGUAGUUUAUUGGGUGCUUAUACUCCUAAAUCUGGAACUCAAGAAAGCGGAUUUGGCAGAAUUCCUUUGAAUCAUCUGUUUCUGUAUUUGGGUUCAACACUUGGAGCAUAUAAAACCCCUGGAGAGAAAUAUGAAGAAACACAUCAAAACUUAUGUUUCUUUAUUCCUAAUAAUUAAAAUGCCUGACUCUGUGGAACCUGGUAGACCCAUGGUGGGGGGGCGGGCAAGGAAGAAGAAUCAACAUCCAGGUGGGGGCAGGCCUCUCAGACACCCGUUUUCUGUGUGUUGCUCUCAGGUCCCUAUAGAGAAGGACUUGAUAGCAUUGCUGCAACAUGAAAUUGGUUCUUCCCUGGAGAUGUACAUGGCUGACAUGGCUGGGUAGGGUCAGCACUUUGGAUGCUCUAUGUCAUGUUUCUUCCUGGUCCUAUGACUCUAUGGGUCACCUGAUGUCCCCAUUGAAUCACUAGUGCACAUUCAGGAACCAAAUAGAAUCAGGAUAUGUUUUAUGAUCAUGACGAUACAGAGACAAUCAAUGUUAUUCACAAACAUCAGAAGCUGGAUGACAUCUUACAAUGUAUUCAGAAUCAUCCGAGGAAGAUGAAAUUAUAUGUAGCCCAGCCAUAAUGCUGAAUGAAUUUCAUUUUUGAUAAUAGGUCAUUCAAAGAUGUUUACUAGAAAUGCCACUUAGAGAAUCUGCUCACCAAUCACUAAGAACAGCAAUAACAGGUCUAAUUUGUUGUGUUCCCUUGUUGAGUGUUCGCAGACAUUGUGGUCACGUGUUUUCUGUAACUGUGAUCUCAUUUUAUCAUUCUGGGUUAAUGGGAGCUUCUAAUGCCACCAUUAAGACAUAAACAACAUAAGAGGGAUGCUUCCUUCAUCAUUAGUUUAGUAGGUUUGUGUGAAUUUAAUUAAUUCAUUCCUGAAAAAGGAGAUUCCUGACUUUGAUACAGAAAGCAUUGACUGGAUCAUCCCACAUUUUCCUGGCAAAGGCUAGGAAAAGCAAGAACUUUUCCCAGCAAGGGCUCUUCAUUCUUGUUUCCAACCCAUGAUCUCUCAUGAGCUUGGGGACUGAGAGCAUACGCAUUUGGCCCAUCUUCUCCCCACGCUGACUUCUCCUCUAACUUCAUUCAAUUUUAACAUAAAGCAAGAUAGAACUAACACCUCCCCUCUCUCUCGUGAAGAUGUACUUUGCACUGCUUAGAAGGAGUCAUUUGUGAAUUUACAGUUACUGAAUGCUUAUUCACAUUUAACCAUCUGUUUAAAAAAAAAGUAUCCAUGAUUUGUUUUAGUCGAGUGUGACAGAUGUGACUGUCAUGAAGGAAGAAGUUUACAAUAUAUAUAUAUAUGUGUUUACUUAUUUAUUUUUUGCAGUGCUGUGGAUUGAACUAGGGCCUUACAAAUGCUACGCAAGCACUGGCCCUGGGAAGAAGUUUCUACUUAAUAGGUUUUCUAGAAACAGGAGGCACAGCAUGCAGGAUUGCAUGGGGGAAGCAUCAGGGUUGGUCAGGAAGCAAAAGGAGAAAAUGUGGGUCAAAGUCUUUCUGUGGUUUCCAAGGGAAGGAAUGGGCAAGGCAGGAAAUGGGUUUGUGUUGGUUGGUUUGAAUAAAUUCAGUGGGCUCUGGGGUAUAGGGUCUGUCUCUAGUUGUCUCUCCCUGACUGUGGGGUAAUUAGGACAGGAGGUGACUGUGUCAGAGAGUUCAAUAAAGGUGGUAGCUGAUGGUGAGGAGGGACAUGGCCCCUUGAUUGAUCAGGUUGCCUAUGAAAGGUGUGCUGAAGGCAAGUGGCUUGCUGAGGACUGGUUAGACCUGGAAGGAAGAGUCUCUCCAGUCAGCAAGGCCCCAGAUGCCAGAAAAUCAAGAAUACAGAGAAGAAGAAAACAAGUUAAUAUACUAUCCUUUCAAAUAUUUACCCAAAGACAGUAAAAGUGUAUCGAGUGCCAAGUAUGGUCUGGCCUUGCAAUUCUAGUUCCAGUCCUGGGCUCGAAGGAGGCUCUCAGGGAGAGCUUAGUGCUGAAUGCAUGUUCCACACACCUGGCUUGACCACAGAGCUGUGCCUGAAACACUGGCUCUACCUUCAAGGAGCAUGUGGCCCAUUCUGAGAAAGAGAUGCACAAAUAUAUUUAUUAUAACUUGGAUAACUGCCAUUAAAAAAAAGAAAAACCCAAACCUAUCAUUAUUACCACCUUGGGUCCUAUUAGAAUGGCCUUUGGUUCUACCUACAGCAGGUAAGUGAUCAUCACUCCUCAUUGUCCCUGCUUCUCUCCUUAACCCCCAAACCAUCAAGUCUGGGACCUUUUGCCAUGGCCAAGUUUGUCACUACUUCCCCAUCUCUACUGGCUGUUCAGAAAGAAAGAGAUGGCCUCCCCUCUGCCCCGCAGCCUGGUUAGACAGGAUGCCCAUCCCUCUUGUCCUUUGUUAGUCUGCAGAGCCCUGAGCGCUAAUCCACAGCAGCUGUGCACCAGGCGCUUGUGGGCAUCGGGGAGGGGAGCGGUGUGGGAGGGGUGCCUGGCAGGGUAAGGCUGGAGCCCUCCCAGGGGCUGAACCACCCACAGAGCCUCUUUUCAAAUGCUCUCUUGUCCCUAGAAACGGCUGUCUCUGGAAGAGGCCAGGAGCCAGCACAAGGCCCAGAGACAAUCUUGAGGUAGACCAUUUGUCUCAGGCCCCUCCCGCCGCCUCUUGUGUGUGUCUUCUCCUAAUUUCCCUUCUGGGCCUUCCAAAGGGGUCUGGUGCAUGCUGACUGUGCUGUCAGCCGUUCCGGAUAACUCAUUCACAUUAGUGGAAUUUAAAGGUCACUCUUCCCAAUGGUAUUUGUGCCAGAAAAGAGCCUAAGAAGGAGGUCACAGCGCAUAAGCAUAAAGAAAUGACUUUCUAAUGGGGAUGGCUGAGCUGGGAAUUAGCUGAUGCAAAGAGGAUGUGUGUGUGUGUGUGUGUGUGUGUGUGUGUGUGUGUGAGCACGCGUACGUACAUGCUCGCAAGCCCCAGAUCAUCAGAAUCUGUUCCUCCACCUUUCCAGCCAGGGAUGCGGAGAACAAACUGGGGCAGGAGCCCUACCUGGGGCAAGGAGAUCAGGUAACUGGAAGCUCCAGCUCAGCCUCCAAGGCCUGUGUCUGCAGGCUCUGAUUGGAGGCUGGGAGGCCUCAGGGGAAGGUGUCUCACUGAGUCUGCUCUAGUUGCCACAACCAAGGACCACGGACAACAUGCUUCACAGAAACCUGUUUUCUCACAGUUUCAGAGAUUCAAAAUCAAGGUGCUGGCAGGGUCGGCCGCUUCUGAGGCCUCUCCGUGGCUCUCAGAUGGCACCUUCACACCGUGUCCUCACAUUGUUCCUUCCCCAUGUGUGAACAGCUUUUCGUGCCAGAUUUCCCCUUCUUCUAAGGACAGCAGUCAGACUGGAUUGGGGUGCACCCACCAGCCUCAUUUUAACUGAAUCUCUUCUUUAAAGGUACCAUCUCCAAAUACAGCCACAUUUUGAGGUACUGGGGGUUAGAGUUUCAACAUAUAAGGGUUUUGGGGGGGGCAGGGGUGGGGGUCACACAAUUCAACCUAUAAAUGAAGGAUAGCAUAUGGUGGGAACUCAGAGCUGCAGUUCUCAAAAAAUGCUUGUUUUAGUUAGCUUUUUUGUUUCUGUGACCAAAAUACCAACAAGAACAACUUAGAAGAGGAAAAGUUUAUUUUGGUUCAUGGUGUUCAGAUGUUCAGUCCUUGGUUGACCAACUCCACAGCUCUGGGCUCAAGGGGAGGCAGAACAUCAUGGCGGAAGGGCGUGGCAACCAGGAAGCAAAGAGAGUGCUCUGCUCACUAGGGACAAAAUAUAAACCCCAGAUUCACCUCCUAGCCCAUGAUCUACUUCCUCCAGCCAUACCCCACCUGCCUACAAUUACCACCUAGUUAAUCCAUAUCAGUGGAUUAAUCCACUGAUUAGGUUACCUGUCUCCUAAUUUGAUUAUUUUUCAUCUCUGAACAUUGUUGCAUUGUCUUGCACCUGAGUCUUUGGGGAACAACUCAUAUCUAAACCAUAACAAUGUUCCAGUGGCUAAGAGUUGGUAAGCUAGGGGCGUUGAUUCAAUAAUAGUUGAAUCAUUGGAUUCCAUUAUAAGAACUAGGAACAACUUUAAUAGCAGAAAAUAGGAUGCUGUGUUAAGUGUGCAAUCUCAGAUUCCAGUGAGCAAAAUAGGCACAGGGAGAGGAAAACUGUUGAACUAAGCAGACUUGCGGUUUUGAAUUUUUGCUACAAUAUUUGCUUACUUGCACAGUUAUUUUUUCAUCCAUGGCACUUGCUGACAAAACAAUAGCAGGUGCCACAGAUUUUAAAAGUUUCUGAGAGAAAAACCUGAAACAGACAAAAUGCCAAGCUUGUAUUAAAUAAAUUCUGUGUAUUUGGGGAAACUCACUAUUAUUCAGUUUUAGUAACGGGUCUAUCAUCGGUGUUCUAAAAGAACAUAGUUUGAGAAUCAUGAUGGAAAGCAAGGUCCUAUCUUCUAAAAUCUAAAAAGUAAUAUUUUUUUUCUCUCUUUUUGGUACUAGGGGUUGAACCCAGGGGUGCUCUACCACUGAGCCAUAUCCCUUGCCCUUUUUACUUUUAUUGUGAGGGUCUAAGUUGCCCAGGCUGGUCUUGAACUUGUGAUCCUCCUGCAUGACUAAGGCUACAGAUAUAUCCCACCUCACCUGGCCUCCGCAUCUGUUUUUUCAUUUAUUCAACAUAAUUGAUUUGAGUGUCUUCAAAAACGCAUACCACUCCUCCAGACAUUGGUGAGAGAGAAAGCAUGAGAUUCUGAUCCUUCCUUGAGACCCUGAAUUAUCAAUUCAGAAUUUUGGUUGAGGGGCUGGGCAAGUAGCUCAGGUGAUCGAGUGCUUGCCCAGUAUGUAUGAGCCUUGGGCCUGCCCCCCUGCACUGCAUAAAAAGAAAAGGAAAAAAAAAAUUGGUCACAAACCACAGAAUUCACUGCAGCUGGUUUAAGCCAAGGAGUAAUUUACUGAAGAGGCUCCAGCAGAGGAAGAACUAACUAGGAAGCAAAACAGCUGCUGUAGUUAGAUCUGAAAUGUCUCCCAAAGGCCUGUGUGUUAAACACUUGGUCCCCUGCCAGUGGUGAUAGAACCUUCAGGAGGCGGGGCCUAGUGGAAGGAAAUUGUGUCACUGGGGCUGUGCCCUUGGAAGGAAUAUUGGGACACUGGCCCCUUACUUUCUUUUUUACUUCCCAGUUGCCAUGAGGUGAACCAACUUUUGGGUCUGACUCACCACAGACCCAAAAGCAAUAGGCUAACCAACUGUGGACUGCAUCUUCUGAAACCAAGAGCCAAAAUAAACCUUUCCUCCCUUUACAUUGAUUUAUCUCAGGUAUUUUCUUACAGCAGUGGAAAGCUGACUCACAUAAAAGCAAAUGCAGGCAAAAGCACUGUUCUAGUGGAAACCUUCCUGAGCUCAUUGACGCCUAGCCAACAAUGUUUGAUGCUGAGUACAAGACAGCAUUUUAAGAUGUCUUAGUCUGUUUUUUGUUGCUAUAACAGAACACUUGAGAUUGGGUCAUUUAUAAAGAAAAUUUUAUUUUGGCUGGAUGGCCCUGGAGGUGCAAAAGCAUGGCUUCAACAUAUGCUUGCUUCUGGUAAGGGCCCCGUGCUGCUUCAACUCAGGCAAGAAAUUAGAAGGUAAGUAGGCAAGUGCAAAGAGAAGUCACAUGAUGAGAGAGGAAGCAAGAGAAAGCCAAGGUGGCCAACUGACUUUAUAUGAGUAUAUNNNNNNNNNNNNNNNNNNNNNNNNNNNNNNNAAGACAGCAUUUUAAGAUGUCUUAGUCUGUUUUUUGUUGCUAUAACAGAACACUUGAGAUUGGGUCAUUUAUAAAGAAAAUUUUAUUUUGGCUGGAUGGCCCUGGAGGUGCAAAAGCAUGGCUUCAACAUAUGCUUGCUUCUGGUAAGGGCCCCGUGCUGCUUCAACUCAGGCAAGAAAUUAGAAGGUAAGUAGGCAAGUGCAAAGAGAAGUCACAUGAUGAGAGAGGAAGCAAGAGAAAGCCAAGGUGGCCAACUAACUUUAUAUGAGUAUAUAUGUAUGAGCCUUGGGCCUGACCCCCUCCACUGAAUGGUAACUAAUCCAAUCCUAUGAGAGGGAGAACUCACUCACACAAAAUUGCAUUAAUAUUCACGGGAGCUCCACCCCCAUGACCCAAACACCUUCCUCUAGGCCCCACCUCCAACACUGCCAUCUUGAUGAAUUAAGCCUCAGUGAGUUUUGGUGGGGACAAACUAUAUUCAGACCAUAGCAAAGAUCCUUUGUUGCCCCUGUCUCAGAAAGUUGGAUACCUCCAGCCACCUUUGCCAAAAUGGCGUCCAAAGACAGCCACUGACUGCUUUGUGCCUUUCACUUCUGAUUGGCAGAGUCCAGGCCACAUGACUGUACCAUAGCUGCAAGAGAAGGCAGGAGAGCAAGUUUCUGACUUCUGUCUUAAAGAUCUAUGGGAUCAUAAGAUGGGAAAUUCUGCAAACAGAGUGGGGAAAUGCUAUUAUUGAUAACAUGCUUAGGCAUGGUGGGGACCAGGACAGGGACCGCUAACAGCAUGGGAUAAUGAGGGAAGACUUCCUGGAGGAGGUGAUUGAUGAUUGAGCUCAUGUUGAUGGAUAAACCAAAGGGGGACAUCUUGGAGUUAAAUUAGACCCCCCACUGUCUGACUAACAUGCCUCUACUGUGAGUGUGCCAAGUUCAGAAAAUGGGAACUGAUGAAGCAAGAAGAAAAGGCGGGUUGGAAUCUGCAUAUGUUUAUGGGGGACCCAUGUAGGAGCUCCCUGGAAAGUGCUCGGGGCAUCCUCUGCUGGACUACCUGAGCAACUGACUUGGGUUCUGUCUUUUUUCCUCCCAACUGUGCUCCCUUCAGGUGUCCUAAUAGGUUAUGGCUUCCAUUAGGAAGUGUGCAGUGUGUUUUCAGAAGGGCUUUUUGGAAAUACAAAACUUGACUCCAAAGGAGUGCUUCUGUUUUAUCUCUUCCUUCUUUUUGUUAUUUUUCUUUCUUUUUAAGUUAAGUGUAAAUGGAAAAUACAAAUCUAUCCAUAACUAGCACCUGUUUUAUACUUUAUCUUUUAAAAAGACCUCUAAUGCAAUCAAGUUAUGCCUACCAUUUUGUGAUUUUUUUUUUUCUGAUUUCUUUAUCUUAAAUUCCCUAAAAAGUGAGUCUUAGUAGCAGUUCUUUGAAAUUGUAUUUGGUCAAUAAAUACUUUUUUUCCCAUACUAGGGAUUGAUCCUAGGGUGCUCUACCUCUGAGCUGUACCCCCAAUCCUUUAUAUAUUUUUAUUUUGAGACUGGGUCUUGUUGAGUUGUUCAGGCUGGCCUCCAAGUUGUGAUCCUCCUGCCUCAGCCUCCUGAGUAGCUUGGAUUACAGGUGUGCACUGUGCUGCCCUGCUAGAAUGAUAAUAUGAGUCUGAGGUCUGAGGUUGGCUUAGAGAGUAGGAAUAGGGGCUAACCUUCCCCCUAAAUCUGUUUCUCAGGCUUGGUAAAUGCUAUCACUUUGUGAUUACCUUAAGUCACAGCCUUUGCUCCCCUCUCUUACCCCCUGGACAUCAGCAAGUCCACAGGCUCUGCUUGCAGUUCACCUGGAAUUUGUCUCCUCCUCCCCAAGUUCACUACCCCGUCCUUAUGCAGGGCCCCUGCCCCAGCCUGAACACUCCCCAUUACUGGUCUCCUUAAGGCCACUUCUCUCACUAUAGCCAAGUGAGACUUACAAACAGAAGCUUGUCUGUUGCAUCUGACUCCCCAGUGCUGGUUUCUCUUUGCUUUUAGACAAAACAAGGCCUUUCGCAAGGUGGCCCUGACCACAUUGUUUGGUGGUCCCCUCCCUCUCACUCUUGGCCAGCUAGCAGCCACAGGUGGCCUUCCAGCCUUGCCUCAGGCGUGCUGUGGGCUCUGACUAUUCCAUCCUCUGCUCUGCACAGCUGGGUUCUUCUUAGCUAUUAGGCCUCUGCUUAAAUGUCAUUUCCUCUGAGAGCAUCUCUCAUCUUUUGUCUAUAUAGUGCCCUGCCCUCCCCUAAACUGGUAUUUUCUUAUCGUAGCCCCCUGUUUAUUUCUCUUCUGGCAUUUAACACAAUUAUCCGUAUAUUUUUUGGUUUACUUAUUAUGUACCUCUGCUUCUAGAAUCUGUGUUCUGAGGAGGUGGAGAUCUUAUCAGCCUGUACCCACAGCAUCUGGCCUGAAAGUGCUCAGCAAGUAUUUCUGGAAGGAGCGAAGCAAUUCAGGACCUCCAAGCCCUCUGCCAGACCUCUCCCUGCUCCCCUUGGAGGGGGACUUUAGCUGGGGAGGUUACCACUGGCCUCUCAGAGUUCUCACAGGCUGCAACCCUCCCAACAGCAGACCCCAGGGUGUCCCCAGGCUCUGAGCUGCCCCUACCCCCUGCUCAGUGAUGGCAGCCAUGUUCAGAUGACCCACAUUUCAUCCAACCAUGUCUCAGCCAGCCUGUCUCACUGGAUGCUUCCCAGCUGUCUGGGUCUCCACUCCCUGCUGCGUGGGUAGUAGAGGUGAAGCAGGCUCUCCUGGGUCUUCCCUGCAGGUGUGUAAUGCAGUGGAAAGAGCACUGAACUUGGAGGCUGGGAUGCAGCUUUGGAGUUCCUUCCUCCCCUGAGCUAUAUAAAUUCAGGAAAUUCACUCUGUCCUGAGCCUCCCUUUCCUAAUUUACAGAAUGUUAGCUGAGGUCCCUGCUCUAGGUUAUCUUUCAGGGUUGCCAAAUUGAUGUUGGUGGCUGUCUGUGGCCAACUAUAAGUACGUAGUAGAGGCAUUGCCCAACAUGCCAUAGCUUCAUUUGGAAAGAGGAAGGUUAACUUGAACAUGAGGAAGCCAGAUCAAAAACAUUGCCUGGCAAGGAUGUGGGAGAAAAGGCACACUCAUACACUGCCGGUGGGCUGCAGAUUGGUGCAGCCAAUAUGGAAAGCAGUAUGGAGAAUCCUUGGAAAACUUGUAAUGGAACCACCAUUCGACCCAACUAUCCCACUCCUCGGUUUAUACCCAAAGAACAUAAAAUCAGCAUACUAUAGUGACACAGCCACAUCAAUGUUUAUAGCAGCUCAAUUCACAAUAUCUAAAAUAGGGAACCAACCUAGGUGCUCUACAACAGAUGAGUGGAUAAAGAAAAUGUGGUAUAUAUACAGUGGAAUGUUACUCAGCCAUAAAGAAGAGUGAAAUUAUGGCAUUUGCUGGUAAACAGAUGGGACUGGAGAUUAUCAUGCUGAGUGAAAUAAGCCAAUCCCUCAAAACCAAAGGCCGAAUGUUCUCUCUGAUAUGUGAAUGCUAACACACAAUGAGUGAGAUAGAAGUGCAUUGGAUUAGACACCGGGAAUGAAGGGAAGGGAUGGAAUAGGAAAGACAGCAGAAUGAAUCAGACAUAGCUUUCCUAUGUUCAUAUAUGAAUACAUGACCAGUGUAACUCCACAUCAUGUUCAACCACAAAAAUGGGAUCCUAAUUAGAAUAACUUAUACUCCAUGUAUGUAUAAUAUGUCAAAACACAUGUCUAUGUACAAAGAACACGUUUUUUAAAAAGAAAAAAAAAUGUUGCCUGAAAAAAGUUUUUAUUCCUUUCAGCAGAAGACUUCCCCAGGGGAAGACUGGGGGGUAGGCAGGGAAGGCUGGAUGCUGAGCCUGGGAGUGACCAUUCUGUAUAAGGCUUUGCCCUGCCCACUGCACUGUGGUCUGAAGCACAUGCUUGGUCCAGAAAGCUAUCUAUCAUUCAAAUAGUGAGGAGCCAAGGGAGGACUGCCUUGCAGAGGACAGGCGCUGAGUUGUGCAUUUUGGUGAGAUGUCUUUUGGGUCACUCUGAGAGUGCGGUUGGUUGAAAUUCUUUCCUGCAGUAACAUCUCCCACUGCAGAUACUCAGGCCAGCAUCCCAUGAUCAACUAGGAGGCAGUUACUGAAUGUCUAUGGGUCGAAGAAAUCUGAUUCCAUCUCUACCCCUACAGCAGGAUUUUUUUUUAACUUCAGUACUAGUAACAUUUUGGGUGGGAUAAUUCUUUGCUGUGGGGGCAGUGGACUGUCCUGUCCAUUUGGCAGCAUCUUCUGGCUUCCACCCACCAGGUACCAAUAGCACAGCAACCCCCGACUCCAUGAUUCUGAGAUACCUGAAUAUGCAUGCACACACACACACACACACAGACACAUGCUCAUGAUGACUGAAUACAUCUGCAGACAUUGCCCAAUGUCCCCUGGGAGCAAAAUCCAUGCCCUAUGCACACACCUCUUAAGAAAAACUGCCCUAACAGAAAUAAUAAACAGGAUAGGUACAAAGAAUUCAGAGGAGGAGGACAGGGAAGAGUACUUCAAGUACUUCAAGCUAAAUACAAAACACAAAUGCAUUUAUGCAAGUCAUCUGACUGCCCAAAUAUUGGAGAGCCUUGUUUCUGGACAUUCCUUGGGUGGGACAAAGAUUAUUGUGACCACAUUAAUAUGAUGCUUCUUUGUAGCAUUUAUCUAGCCUGGGAAAAUUCAGAGAUUUAUAUACUUCUUGGUUGCAAAGAUUAGUUUACCUUAACAAAGUCAUUGUCCAUGAAAUGAGACUGCAUUUGAUAAGGUGGUUGUUGUGGGGAUCAAGAUAGUGUAUGCAGCAGCCUCAGCCUCCAGUCCAUGGCAAUUUUUAUGAAUUCUUGCUUUAUUUCUAUAUCAUUUGGUAUUAUCUCAUACCUAUUAUGCAAUGUGCAUCUUCUCUGGUCUAUUUAGAUAUCUAAUUUGAUUUAUAUAUGCUAACAUGUAAUUAUAUAUAUUUAUAUAUUAAUAUAUAGCAUUAGGUCUUAUUUGAUGCUCACAAGCACCCUGCAAAAUAAGUGGCUUGACACCCAUUUUACAGAUGGAAAAGUGAGAUUUGCAAAGGUAUAGCAUCUUAUCAGGGUCACAUAGUCUGCACAGGUUAGAGAUGGUGUUUGGACUUGGCCUGUCCACCUACAGGAGCUGCUUUGGGCGCUGUACUGAAGGAGUGUGAGGUUAGAAGUUAGAGGUCUGUCCCCAGCUCUUUUCAUACCCCUAUCAAUGUAAGAGCAAUUGCUCUUCACCUGAGGGUUGCAUCUACAAAACAGAGAGGUCUGUUUUUAAUAGACAUGUCUUCACCCAAAGAGAUGCUAGAUUCGAAGUCGACAGAGGGUGUGUCUUGACACCCUUGGCACCUCCAGUGUCAUACCCAGAGGUGUUGGAUAAUAACUAUUUGCAGUUUGAUUUUCCUCGACUCCAGUGUACUUCUGGCAAGGUUUAGUGUUUGAGGAGGAGUGAAAACUCUUCAUUCCUCUUAAGGAAUGGAAAUUCUAUCUUACAUCUUAGCUGCAGGGAUGAAUUAUUUCUCAUUGUCCUCUAAUUUUAGACCCCACGAGGAGCAGCUGUUUAAAGAGUUGCUUGAGUCAGUAUCGGCAUUUUGUGCAUGCACCCUGCUCUUUCUGCAGGACCUGAUUGGAUCAGCAUGUGACUCUGACAUGAAGUGCAUCUCUCUUGAGUUGGGAUGCAGGAGAGGGGCAGCUCACUGCUCUGCUGAAGCCAAGGGAGAAAAAUCUAUUCCAGGAAAACAAAUUCUCAGUUUUUUGUGUGUGAGUGUGUGUGUGUGUGUGUGUGUGUGUGUUGUGAGAAAGGGGAUGGGAUUGGUGAAAAAUCUAUACCUGGGAGUCCUUACAUAUGAUAGACCUAGAGAAUCGGUAUUUGGGGGAAGGAGAGGUCCUCACACGAGUCAUAAAAUGAGAAAGUCUUCAGCUGUGUCAUGAUGUGGACCAUGAAGUUAUUUAUACUUGAAAAACAUUUUAGACCAUUCAAUGUGGGCUGGAGAUCUAGCUCAGAAGUAGAGCACUUGCCUAGAACACUUGAGGCCCUGGGUUUAAGCCCCAAUACUGCAAAACAAAAACAACAAAAAAUAUUCAAUGCAUGCUUGCUUUGAAAGGAGAAAGAAACUUUGAGGAAAGGAACAAAAGGGUGGAUAAUUGGGUGAUAGUCCUACUGACAAUAAUUGUCAUGAGCCAGCAAUUGCUGAUUCUGCCUAAAUGAAGUAGCUGGUUGUGAGGCCUUCAAACGCUGGUGUGUCUUCUCAAGGUUGUGUAUAUCAUAAUUGGUCUAAAGUGAAUUUCUUUGUUUGUUUGUUUGUUUUUUUCUGGUCUAAGGGAAAAUAUCUGUCUUGCAUGUUUGAGCUCCCAAGGUAUUUUCAAGCCUAAACUGCCCAGCCUUUUGGCUUGCGUAUGACUGAUUUAUAUCUCCUCUUUCUAGUCUGCAUCAACAUAAGUUCUCGUAAAAGUCCCAUCGAUGACAAAAACAACUUCAACACCAAAACGAAAACAAAAUUUAAAGGUUUAAGUUUUUUACCGAUAUCUAACCCGUACGGACCAAUUCUCCGGACUUUACUAUUCCGGGGUCUAAACGACCCAGAGGAUCCAUGGGUGCCGUCGUAUCCCGUACGAGUGACCCGUAACCGAAAUAAAUACAUAAAAAAAAAUAACUCCAUUUUAAUUGGUAGAACUUCACAUGUUCAGUCACCGUAACUCAUGAAAGUGUUGUAACAUGUUGACAGUGGAGACCAAGGUUUUGUAGAAGUAGUAGGGGAUUUCUCUGGGGGUGAACAAAGGGUGAACGACAAGAGGGGUCGGGGACCGUCGGUGAUUAGACGAGAGACGGAGGCAUUUGAAUUCACAGGACCUACUAAGUGUCUUCACCUUAGUGUGGAAUACACUGGAAAGUACAGACCGAAGAAAGUGAAGCGUAUUACAAAAACAGAUACGACGUCGGAUAUAGUCUGGAGGUAAAGAAAGAUUCCGACUUAGGAUGAGAGAGGACAUACAUAUGUGGUGUAAAACAAAUAGGUAAAUAGACAAUUACCUGUAAACACAAUAAAAAUGAAAUCCCGACAAUGUUUGUCACGAUGAUAUUCGUAAGUUUAUGUACACAAACAAACGUAUGGACAAAAAUCAAACGCCCCCCCCCCCACCAUAUAUGAAUCCUUAUUUUAAUGGGUCAACACACCAAGAAGACACAAUUGGAACACUCCUUAGUCGUAACCAAAAUUACUAAAUCGAGGGUCCGACGACAAUCCUGGUACUCUCCCUAAAACGAUCUUAGUACUUUACGUCCACCAUCUUUUUCGGGAAGUAGAAGAGUAAGUAAAGUCCUUCGGACAGACAUUGUUUUGAAUUCUCUUCGGGAAGGUAGGAGAUGGACAUGUUAAGGGUACACCUCCUUAGGGGUGGAGGGUUCCUGUCGGUAAGUAAGGUAACUACCCGUCGGGAUGGACUACCGAACGAGACAAAGACGGGAUAAGGAGAUGGACCUUAGGUAUCUGAGAGUCUACUCGAAGUCACACCUCUCCACCACUUUCUUGUCCAUUAAUAAUAAUAAUAAUAAUAAUAAUAAUAAUAAUAAUAAUAAUAAUAAUAAAACCACCCGAGGGUUCCUAACUUGGGUCCCCAUGAAUUAGUGACUCGGUGCAGGGGUCGGACAAAAUAUAAAAUAAAACUCAGUCUCAGAGCGAUUCAACGAGUCCCGGAACGAUUCAACGACUCCGACCGAAACUUGAACACUAGGAAGACGGAAUCGGAGGGUUCGGAGAUCUAAUGUCCGUACACGACCGUGAUAAAUUCCUCAAGGAUUUAGCACAAGACCUCAUUAGGUUACUACAGUAGAAAGAGAAGAUGGGGACUCAGAAGUUUCUAAAAGACCUUCUGGUAACGAACUAACUGUGGACGGGAGACGAACGGAGACUGUAUGUCUACGUUUCUGGUCCUUUCCCAUUGUAAAAGGGUUUACGGAUGGAUUCUCUCGUCUCCACCCCGACCUUCCGACACUCCCUCCUCCACCCUCCGUUUUAUUUGUUGUUCAACAAAAAACAUGGCAAGCCCCUCACAGGGGCCCCAUUGUCCAUGACCUUGGCAGACUGUGGUUCACUGCAGAUAGUGGGAGAAUUUGCUAUCUAGAAAUUGUUUCAUCUGGAGGGAAGGCCAUUUUUGAGAAAGCUGAGGAAGUCCUUGAAAGUUGCACAAUUUAUGAUGUUGAUAGGGUACGAAAAUAUUCGGAGCAACUCUUUUUUAAAGUAAGUCAUUUAUUGAAGUAUAAUAGACAUACAGAAAAGCAUCUAUCACAAAAUAGAGCCUAUUGUAUAGUUCUGUUUAUAUAAAAUUCAACAAAAGGCAGGAUAUUGGCUACUUUUAGAUAGUACACACCUAGAAGGGAUCUCGCCGGCUACCCUGCAGGUGCUGGUCAUGUUCUGAUCCUUGAUCGGGAGCCACUCUUUGUGACUUAAAAGAGUUUCAAAUAUUAUUUGGUAUACAUCAAACUGAGGAAGGAGAAAUGCUGGGGGUUAAGUUGAAUACCCUAAGCCUUGUGUUUGGGGUGUCUUUGGUUUCUGUCUCCCUGGCAUCUUCUCCCCCUUCUUUGGCUAUAGAGCACAUCCCUCCUCACUCUUGGAGCAUGUUCUGUGUGGGGUCUGAUGUACCCUCUACUCCCAGAGCAGGCACGUGUCAGGGACUGGUUAAGCAAUAGGCACGUGACUCAAGUCAGACAAGGCCUCUAACCUGAGAUUUUUCCUAGAACCACUGGGGAAAAGGCACUGGAUCUCAGCUGGGAUAUCUAAGUUGUUAGGACAGGAGUUUGGGGCUAUUGGUGGGUGUUUUUGCUACUGUGUGGGUCAAAUGGGAAUGACACCAGCACCGCAAGAUUCCUGGUGGGGAAUACAUGGACCCCACUGUUCUGAGAGCUACCUCCAGUCCUGUGAUGCAGGAAAAACAAAUGAACUAUUUUCUCCUGCUAUGUUCUCAUUCAGCAGAACAAUGGAACACUUCAGUGACCAAGUGUAAGUUUCUUAAUAUGAAUGACAUCAACUGAGUGCCCUACAUUUCAAUUCUGUUAGCAUCAGGCCCCACAGUUGGAGCACUUGGUCUCACAGAACUACUUCAGAUGCCUUCACCAGCCUCAGGUUCUUACCAGUACUUCUGACUCUCUGUCUAUAAGUCUGGGGUCCCCAUGACUUCCUGUUUAGAUUCAUAAUUUGCCAGGAUGGCUCACAGAACUCAGGGAAAUAUUUGCUUCUGUUUACCAGUUUAUUUUAUUAUGAAAGAUAUGAUAAAGGAUACAGAUGAACAGCAAGAUAAAGAGAUGGGUAGGAUAAGAUGGGCAUACCUUCCUGGGGUGCACCCCCUCUUAGAACUUCCACAUUUGAAGCAAUGCAGAAGUUCUUCAAACCCUGUCCUUUGGGGGUUUUAGGGAGGUUUCAUUGUAUAGGAAUGAUUGAAUAAAUCAUUGGCCACUUGUGAUCAACUCAACCCUCAGCCCCUCUCCCUUCCCCAGAGAUUGGUUCUCAGAGCCAUCCCUCCCGCCAUGGCCACCCAGGAUCCAGGCAUCUCCUUAGUCUGCAAAAAGACCUGACUGUGAAAACUCAAGGGUUUUGUGGAGCUGUGUGCCAGGAAACAGGGAAAACAGCAAAAAUAUAUUUCUUCUAACAAAUCCCACUAUCACUAUUCCUCCUGGGCCUCUCCGUUCACACGCAUGAGUAAAUCCCCUUUUCUGCUCUGCUCUUCAGGUCGGGUUUCUAUCCGUUGCCUCCAAGGGCUCUGAGUGAUUAAAAUAGGUCAGCUGGACCUGUUUGGCCAGGUCAGUUGGAACCAUCAGAUAUAUUUAGAUGUAGCUCUCAGUCUCUCUGUGAGCACUGGUGGAAGGGCAUGGAGACAGCUCCAAAGUAGGAGGAGGGCUGGGAAAGGGUGGGGGGCUGUCAAAGUGGCCACUGGACUGGAGGGAUGGGCUGAGGGACUAGUUCUGAACUUGUCCUGGCAUAGCUCAAGCACUGUUUUUGCCUAGUGUCCUCAUUUGGGAAGGCAUGAUAGGGACAUUUAGUGCUCUCACUUUCCUCCCUUCUCCUGGUACAUAGAUAGAUCUUGAUGCUUUUUUAAGUCCAGUACUUCUGACUCGCCGAAGUACAAGCAAUAAGAGCAUAUAGCUUGAUGGAGGCUUACCAGCCUGCUGGAAAUAACCAGGAAGAGCCCAGUAAUGACCUUCCAUUACCCAUUUAAUAUAAACUCUGUGUUUUAAAAAAAAAAAAAAAUCCCAAGUUGUAAAGCACACAAAGUUGCUCCAAAGUGGCAGUUUCAGGAAAGAAAUUGUUAAGGUGCUCCAUUCUGGUGAGUGGAAUGUACUAAAUCAAAUCAUCGAAAACGGAGAUGUUGAUAGGAUCUUGUGUUUUGCUAUUUGGGUCGUUAGUUAUUUACUAGAUAGAAAAUACUCUUCAACAAAACAUUUAGUGAUUUUUGAUAAGUUUGUAAGUCAAAACAAGAUAAUAUCAUUAAAAUAAUCAAUAGACUUCCUUGCUUUUGGCUUAUCUUUCUAUUGUUGCUCAUCUUCUGCCUGAAAGUCCGUGGAGGGCUGGUGGGUGCCACAUUAAGGUAAGAGAAGCUGUUCAGGAGAUGCCUGGGACUCAACCUCACUUGAUGCAAGAUUUUUGCACUGAAUCCCACAAGUCUACUGCAGCCUUACAACCUUGUUUCAUUUUACUGUUUAACCUUCUUGGAUUCAUCAACUCACCUUGAAGUGAACAACUGCAAAGAGACUUGUACAAGAUUUACAGGGGAAAAUAUUUUAGAUCUCAAAAUUGCUUUAAGGAUAGCACCACAUACAAUCACAUGAUUGAAAAGAAGUUUAGGGAUGACCUCUAAUUCUGUCAUCUUAUUUUAUCACAAAGGGGAAAUUAUAAAAUUUGGCAGAAUAAGACUAGACCUAGGUCUAUGGUGCUAAGCCAAUGGUAUGGUCACCUUCACCUUAGGGCUAGGAUGGACUGACCUAUUUCAUGGAACUUCAGGGCAGCCUUCCUUAUUGGAAUAGAGGAAAAUAGGGUCCAGAGAAUCCUGCAGCUGUAAGUUCACAGUAAGGUAUGCCCUUUGUAUGGCACAUAUCCUCUGAAAGAUGCUAAAUGGGACCUGGAAUAACCACAGGUCAUUCAAUAAUAUCAUUUUUAGCUACUGUUAUAAAUUCCUCCUCCCCUUCUGUGACUUAUAGGAAAGGCUAAAAUAAUGCAGAUGCAUCUCUUUAGAUUUCAUCUCGUUUUUUUUUUCUCUUCCUCUUGGGGGGGGGGGGUUAGAAAGCAGUGGUAUCCAGAAGGGAAGUGUGUUGAUAAUUUAUAGCUGGAUAAAUCUGCUUUUGAACUAUACCAUGACCAUGCAAAUUAAAAUUAGCAUUUGCUCUUUUUAGACCAGGUGUUCUGAUCACUGUUUUAUAUAGAUCAUUUCAUUUAAUUCUCUCAAAACCCAUGAGAGGCAGACAUUGGUUGAGGCCCCACUUUUUCUGAUGAGAAAACCGAGGCUCAGAGCCACCAGGUCUACUAAGUACAAUCUUCAAUCACCAUGGAAGACAGCAGUCUUGAAGAUCAGCCACAAAAAUCACAUUUUUUAGAAUGUUGCCAAGAUUUCAAGGUAUGAAAUCCAUGAUGCAUUUAGAUCAUGGGAAUGUGUCCUAGAACCAUUUUGUUCCAGAGAGCUCAGAAAAGGAUAGUCCUCCUCUCCACAGAUGGGGUCCUCAGCUUUAACCUCAAACUUUCUCACGUCUGCAGGGUCUGAUAACAGAAAUUUUUUACCUGCAGUAAGUAAACACCUUGACGAUCCUUGCAGGGGCAUUUGGGCAGAGGUGUGUCCUUGUUCAGUUGAGGUUUUUGCUUUGUUUCAGGGGAGGGAGUGCUGGAUUUAUCAGUGCAGAAGAUGCAGGGGCUCCAGGAGGCUUCUGAAGCUGCAGGCGGAUUCCUGGGGAGAGGGUGACACUGACGUGCCAGUUCUCCUUACAGUCUGGUUCUGCACUUUCUAAAAAUACUCGUGACAAACAGCUAAUGGGCAUUUUGGCCACACAGCUCUAAACCGCUGCUGCCAUUUCAAAUGGAAUGCUUCUCCUUCAGGCCCGUUCGCCUUGAUUUAUAUGACUGGGAUAAGCUCAGCCAUUUCACAGAACUUCACAACAGCCCACUCACCAGAGGCUCUUUAAAAACAAGAAAGUGCAUUUCUGCCUCUCUUAGCAAGUGUUGCAUGUUUAUUUGUUCAUCAAAAAUGAAAUGAAAGCUUCUUUGGGAAGGACACAUCUGCAGCCAUUGCUUAAGUGUUGUUUAGUGACACAAAGGGAGAGAACCCCAUCCCUUCAGAAGAGCUGUUGGCUCUGAAGUUAAAGGAGAAUAAGGGACAAAUGUUUUUUAAAAUUAUGCAAUUUUAGUGUGAAAUGCUGCAACCUUUUUGGAAACGUGUUUGUAGUAUGUACCAAGGAACACCUACUAGUCACCUACUAAUUCAAUUUCUAUAAAUACAUGUUUAAGAACCAAUCCGAGGGCUGGGGAUAUAGCUCAGUUGGUAGAGUGCUUGCCUUGCAUGCACAAGGCCCUGGGUUCAAUACCCAGCACCAAAAAAAAAAAAAAAUCAAUCCAAAAUAAAGACAGUUUUAUAUUCAUUGAGUUAUCAUUUAUGAUUAUAAAAAAUGAAUCAUAACCUAAAUUCCCAGCAACAGACAAUUAAUAAAUACGGUGGUCUGUUUGUCAUAGCAUUAUAAAGUUAUUAAGAUGUUAGACUUUGAAGAAUUAUAAUGAUGUAAUAAAAUGCUUAAGAUAAAAGAAGUGAAAAUACAAGCUUAAAUAUUGCAUACAUAAAAUGAUCUUAAUUGAGCAUAAAAUACUACACACAUACUCAUACACACUUCAGAAAAAGAUUAAAGAAAUCUAAAAUUAUGGUCAUCUCUGGUUGGUGAGAUUAUGGGCAACUUUAUUUUCCUUAUGUAUUUCUCUAUUUUGCACAGUUUUUUUUUUCCUUUUGGAAAUGGAAAUUGAUUUAUUUAGUUAGGAGGAUUCCCUCCUCCUCUUCUCCUUCCCCCUAUCUACCCAGGCCACCCUGUGUUUGUGUGUGUGUGGGUAUGAGAGAGAGAGAGAGAGAGAGAGAGAGAAAGAGAGAAAGAGACAGAGAGAGACUGAGAAUUGAACCCAGAGGCCCUCUUCCACGAAGCUCCAUCCACAGCCCUUAUUAUUUUAUUUUGAGAUAGUGUCUCUUUAAGUUGCCCCGGCUGACCUUGAACUUGUGAUCUUCCUGCCUCAGCCUCCUGAGUCACUGGGAUUACAGGUCUGUGCCACUACACCAGCUCUCCACCCCCACCCCCUUCCAGAAAAAAAGCUCCUCUCAGAAUUUUCAUAAGGUUCUUGUACAUGGGCACCAAUAGCUCCAUAGUGAAUUUGAAUCCAGAGCCGGAAAGGUCUAACUGAACAGGUGUGAGCUUUGGUUUGUCGUGGUAAACAAGGGCUUGGCCCACAAUAAAAAAGACAUGGAGUCAGAGAAUCCAGCAUCCACCCAACCUUCCCUCUCUUACUGCCUGGGAGCUUUGGGGAAACCACUGGGCAGUCCAAGUCCCACUCAUUGCUGAGUCUCUCAGGAAAAGAACAGACCCACCAGGGCCAGUUCUUGGCAAACUCUUGACACACAGUGCAUUGCCUUUGCUUCCUUUAGGUGCUUGCUCUCCCCUUGGAGUGCUGCCCAACCUCAGUGCCAUUCUUGUGCUAUCUGCAACACUCUCUUGGGGAAGGUUGCUCUCGGAAGGAUCUGGUUCAUUCUUUCAGACACACAUUCAUUAAAUAUGAGGUGCAUCAAUCAGUGAAUGCUGAACCCAUGACCCUGCCUAGGGAGGGCUACUUUCUUCAGGAAAAAGAAGCAUCCUAUAGAUUAAAGGACAGCUUUCUCCAGCAAACUGCAAGGGGCAGGGCUCUGUCCAAUGUCUGGUGGGGCUCAGGUAGCCCAGCUUUGCUCCCAAGGGCUUGGAAUCGACUUUUUUUUUUCCUUAUAAGUAAGUGCAUUUGCGGAAAGUCAUUUAUUCUGAAAUCAUAGGUUCUGCGUCCAUACACCAGACCUCCUGAAGCUUCUUUCACGGGGGUGUUGUGAAAUGUGAAGUAACGCGAAUGAAAUGAUCCUUGGCGAAGCAUAAGGCAGAGGUUGCCCUUGGGAAGCACAUGGGCUAAGCUUGUGGCAGAUGGUUCUGUUGGGUUUGAAGUGUGGUUCCUUUUUAUAUUUUGACUGAAUUUAUUGUCAAUAUUUGAAAAUCAAGGAAUUUCACAGUUAAAAGGGUUUUUUUUUUUUUUUUUUUUUUAGGGAUUUUUAAAAAAUGUGCCUGCCUUCUUGUGUUACGACCUGGCACUGGUUUGCUGGAGCCCAGUAAUUGCUGUUUACUAUCAAGGGAGUUGGGCCUCUGCGCUGCUGUGCCCCCUGCACUCAGGUCUGUCCCAGGAGGAAAUGGUAAAGGGCUGGGGCUGAGGAGUCCCUGCUGUACCACUUCCUGGUUAUGUGACUUUUGCCAACACACUGAACUUUAAAGCCUUAACUUGCCUGGGACUCUCUUUCUUCACCUGUCCAAUGGGAUAAUAUUGUCUCUCCUUAGAGGAUUGUGGCAAGGACUAAGUAAAGCAUAUAUGUGAUAUGAGCAGGGCCUGCCACAGAGGCUGUUGAUCAGAGUUACCCACUUGGUCUCUGAAGGCGUCUGCAAGAGGUGAGUCAAAAGACAGCCAUUGUUUCUAUUAUCUCUCUAU